CCUGGAAAACAGAAGAACACACACCUAUAUGUAUCGUCGAUCAUCCUAAGCCUUGCAUCCUCCUCAAUGUUAGCACGACCACCUGAAUCCAGUUGUUGAGCAUUGGUGAAAUGAAAUUUGAAGACACCCUCUUUGGAAUUUGACAAGUUUCGAACAAGAGAAUUUGACAUCACUCUUCUAACGGAUGGGCAAUCCAAUGCCACUAGUUGUUUUAGAAAUGGUGGAAUCGGUGGGAUGCAUUCAAGCUUUUCGCAUUCGCUUAAAUCAAGCGAUUUCAAGCUCGAAAGAUGAGCAAAGCUCUCAGGAAGGCUCACGAUUCCGCUAUCACGCAGUGAGAGUUCCAUUAAUGACGUCAAACGACCAACAUGUCUUGGGAUUUCUGUUAAUUUGGCACACCCUGAACAAUCAAGUUUAGAGAGAAGCUUCAGAUUAACAAUGGAGUUUGGAAGUGACUCGAGAUCAAUGCAUUUGCGGAGCUCCAGGGAUCGUAGAUUAACCAAAUUGGCAAAUGAGGAAGGCAGUUCUUUAAUAGCCGUAGAUGUUAAGUUAAUGUGAGCAAAAGUAGGAGCCGGCUCCGUGAUAUCUGGGUAGGUCCUCAGGCUUGAGCAACCACACAAAUCAAGCUUCCUCAACUUCAAAUUGAAAAUGGUGCUUGGAAAAGUUUGAAGUGAAUUACAGUGGGUAAGGUCUAACUUGCAUAGUCCGGUGAGGCUUCCAAUGGAAGAUGGAAUAAUCUCAAGAUUCAAGCAACGGUGCAAACUCAGUUCUUCAAGCCCUACCAAACGUGUCCAAGAUGAAGGUAGUGCCUGUAUGGCUGUGUCGUCUAAGAUGAGCACCGUUAAAUCUUCCAACGUGUCCUGAAUCUCGGGUAAAUUUUCCAAUUUUGAGCAACCCCGGAGAGAAAGUUGCUUUAGGAAUUUCAUAUCAGAAAGAUGAAAUGGAAAGAUUGUAAGAGAAGAACAGUGAGAGAGAUCUAAGCGAUAGAACUGCUUGCGACUAAAGGUUAAGGACACACCUUCCUUGAGUUUUGUGAACACUUUUAAGUGUAUGGUAUUAUUAGCCACUUCUUCUUCCUUAUAUCUGUCAAAAGUAAUUGAGAAAAUUUGACUGGAAGUUGGGAAAAGACCAUGGCGUCGACGUUUACGACGCCGUCGUGAGAAAUUGAUCUCUUUCAUCAUAUCCGGUUCCAGACGAGGGAAUCUUGAGAAAGUUUGACGUUGACGCUCGAGUAUGACAUGAGGGAAUCUGGGUUCACUGGUUGAAAACAUAUUAAGCUUCGGACAACGGGAAAUAUUAAUCCAUCCUGGUGAUGUGGAUAAAAUGUUGCUGGGAAUAUUUACACUUUCGAGAUUAGAACAAUUAUCUAAACAUAAAUAACUGAGCUUGGUGAGGAAUAUCGAGGAGUGAACUUCAAUCAACUUUUCACAAGAACUCAGAAUUAUUUCUUCAAUAUUUGGUGACAUAGAAAGGUCUGGUAUUCUAGUAAGUUUCAGAGAACCAGUCAGGUCGACCCUUUUCAACUUGGGUAAAUUCUGCCACAAAUACUAAAUGAAUGAGGUAACAAAUAAAAACUACUUUAUCUAUUUUUCUUCGGUAAACUAAUUUAUUUUUCAGAAAUGAUGAAAAUUAUAACUAAACUAUAUAAAAUUCCAUUUUAUUCUACUCAUCCUUAAUUUUUUUGUGAAAUCUUGAUUUUGGGAUAAUAUCACUUAAACUUAAGAAAUAUUUGGCAUUAAUGAACUCUAAACAAAUUCAUAUAAGAUAUACAUCACUUUCAAUCCAAAAUCUUAAACUAAUAGGUUUAUGAAUUUUCUUUAUAUGUUGUUUUAAAAAGUUGAGACUAAAUUGAACUUUUGAAAAUUGGGAGGAUGAAAUUAUAUUUUGUCUAUUAAUAUAGGGAUUAAAAAAAUAAUUGAAUCAAAUAUUACUAUUUUUGUGAUGUAUAUUUAUAUAUAAAUAAUUUUGAGAAUUUAGAGUUAUAUCAUAUAUAUAUAUAUAUAUAAAAUUCUUUUUGGUAAUGUAUCCUGUAAUUGUAAGCAAGUAUGAUUAUAUUAAGUGGGUGCGUUUCAAAUAGAGGAGACUACGCACAUACAAAUAUCUCUUAUAAAGUAAGAAAACAAACAAACCGUUACUCAAGAAGAUCAUGUAAUGCAUGACAGACAACAUGGGGAGAUAUCUAUCAUCAAUAAUAAAACGAUGUUUUCUGAGAGUUAAAAUUAAACCUUAUUUAAAAUAAGUCCAUCUUUCCAUAUUUUAUAAUUUGUUGUAUAUUAUAUUGAAGUUUAUGUUAUAAUAAAAAAAAUGACUUAAUUAAUCAAAUAAUGUGGAGAAGGCACAAAGGAAUUGCAAAUGAAAACCAGUAGAUGUAUAAUACAGAAAACAUGCUUGUAUAACUUAUUUUUGUCUUUGAAAGUUUAGAACACAAAGAAACAUAGAUAGCUUGAAAAACCUGAUCUCCUUCCCAAAGUUGUUCAAGAUUGCAGCCUGGCAUUUUGAGGGUCACUAGACUUUGUGGGCAAAAGUUUGGAGGCCAAAAUCUUUGAAGGAAAUUGUCCCAAUAAAGAAUCUUUAAAGUGUCCGGCAGAUCUACAAGAGAUGAUUCAAGAGACUCAUAAGAUUGUCCAUCUUUUCGAAACUUUGUGCAUGUACUACAGCAUCUUUUACUUUGUUCGUAUGUAGUAAUAUACACUGUAUUGCAUCUGACCCCUGAAAGUAAAUCAAUGUAAUUAGAAGAAAAAAACAUGAAAUGUUGCAUUGCAGGAUGUUUGAUGACAGCUCAGUGGUUUGCAAUUUUUCACAAAGUAAAUCCAUGUUCAAUUGAGUAACGACAUAAUACCUUGUUCUUUCUUAAAACCUCUCAAAUUUCCUCAGCAUUAAACAAUCGGCUGCGUUUUCCAGGAUGCUGAGGACACUCUUUACGAACAAUUUCUUGACUCAUUUCUUGUAUUAGAUCGUGCAUCACAAUUCUACCAUCAAAGACAGAUAUUAGGCCCCUAUCUUUGAGAAUAUCCAUUCCAAUCUUAGAAGAGAAACCACAGUCAGCAAGUGUUUCUGCUACCACAAUCUCCUGGCGUCCUCUAUAAAAGCAAGCUAUGUCAAGAAAUAUAUUCUUCUCCUCCUCCUCCAGCCCAUCAUAACUUAAUUUUAAUACAUUGAAAAUAUCAAGAUGUUGGCCCUUUUCCAACUUUUGCAACUGACUCUCCCAUGCUUCUCUUGUUCUGCCAUAAAGCAAUGACCCCAAAAUCUAGAGAGCUAAUGGAAUCCCUUUUGCAUAUCUCAACACCUUUUCUGACAGUUCCCUGUAAGCAAUUUCUUCUGAAGAUUUUUGUUUAAAAGCAAGUAAACUAAAAAGUUUCUGAGAAUCAUCAAAAUUCAACUCCUUAACUUCGUAGAUAUCAUCAGCUCUAGCAUUCUUAAGCACUUGUUUGUCUCUACUGGUGAUAAUCAUUCUACUGCCCUGCCCAAAACUAUCACUCCCUCCUAUUAAUUUUUUAAGUAGAGCUGAAUCGGUAACAUCAUCAAGAAUGAGGAGAGCCUUUGUCCGUUUCAGCCUUUCAUUGUAAUAUGAUAAACCAUGGGAUUUCUUUAUCUCUUCCUUUAGAAGCUCAGACAGAUAUUUUGUUCUGAUACUGUCUAUUCCAUCUUUUUGUAUUUUUUCUUGAACGUCUAAAACAAGGCUGCUGGAACCAAACUGCAAAGCCAAUGUGUGAUAUAUUUGAUAACAAAUUGUAGUUUUUCCUAUUCCUCCCAUGCCACAAAUUCCUAUGAUCCGAACAUGCGGUGACUCAAGAUGCAACAAGGACUGAAUUCCUUCAAUGUGUUUUUCAAUGCCGAUGAUUCCUUGAUCAUAACUGGUGGAAUAACGAUUCAAUUUUCUCAAAAUAUCUUCCACAAUUUCUUCAACAAGUGUGUGUUCUGGCCUGGCAGAUGAUUUAGAAAAUAAAGUAUAAGUAUUCAAGCACAAAAGCUAAACUAAACUAAAGAAAAAAUCAGAGUUAAGAGGAGUGAACAUCAUUGAAUAGAUUCACAUAUCGAUUCUAGUUUCGAGUUUUGGAUAAAAUAAAUAAAUUAAAAAGUUGAAGGUAAGUAUAGGACGUUAUCUUCGUAUAUUAGUUUGGUUGGUUUAGAAAUUGCAAAUCAAGAUGGCAAAAAUACUACAGUAACCGUUUGUGACUUCUGAUAAUAGGGAGCAGAUUUGUAGGUACAAAGUUAAGCUAUAACAUGUGAUAUGGUUCAGAUCCAUGACCGACUAAAAGAAAGACUUGAUUUAUGGUGAGAUGAACACAAUUUUAGUAAAUGAAAAGAAAUCCUGUUUAUCUCGAAAUUAUCUAAUAAAUAUAAUGACCUGGUGACUUUUGAAUCCCAGCCUGAAAGUCCAGCAGCUUCGGUGAGAGCAUCCUUCCAUCCUUGCGCUUUGACCAUGUCGUGCAUAAACCGCUGUUCAUGAUCAUCGAAUGAUUCUUUGUAUCUUUCUUCCUGCUUCCUAAUAGUUGAUGGAUCCACCUUGUAGAAAACAGGUAUCACAUCCCUUCCAAAUCUCUUCUUGCAUUCAAGUAUCUUACUGAGUUCAUUCAAGCACCAAGUGGAAGAUGCAUAGUUUUGGGAGAAAACGAUGACAUAAAUCUUUGAUUCUUCUAUUGCAGAGAGCAGUGCAGGUGAAAUUUCUUCGCCCCUGAGUAGUCUAUAAUCAAUAUAUGCUUCAAUGUUCUUCCUUUGCAGUGCUGCAUAAAGGUGGCUAAUGAAGUUGUCACGUGUGUCUUCGCCUCUGAAGCUGAGAAACACAUCAUGCCUUGUUAGAGAAGUAGACACGGCCAAUGAUGAAGGACUUUCUGACAUUGGAGUCAAUUUUCUCUCCUUUCUCUGCAAUUCUCAGGUCUCUUUCUUUGUACUGUUUCUACCACAAAUCUACUCUGCUGCUCUGGACUCAUUAUAAAACACAAGUCAACUUUUGAAAAAGUCUUUCAAUUUUCUUAACAUUCCUUUCACAGAUAUGUGUUCUGGUCAGACAUCGUAGUCAGCAGAAACUAAAGAAAAAGAAAAAUAUUAAUUUAAUAGAAUAGUCAACAAAUUGCAAAAUAAGUAUGGAAUCUAGAUUUAUAUCAUUAUCACGUGUGGAAACAUAGCUACGUCUUCUUAGAUAAAAUCCUUAUUUAAGUUUUAAUUGGGCCUUGUAGUGGGCUUUGUAAUCUGCUUUUCUUUUCUCCUAUAUUGCUUUAUAUAUACACCUCCACUUUUGCUUUCUACAUUUCAUUUUACAAAAUACAUUCUCUCAUUCUGUGUCAUUUAUCUUGCCUGAUUCCGUCCUCUCUUUAUCUUUUUCUCUCAUCCUCUUGCUUAUAAUUCUUUUGUUUUUAUUAAGAAAUACACUAUAAUUCUAAUUUAAUCAUAUACUAUAAUUAUGCUAAUCAUCAAUUAGUACUAUAUAUUAUUAAUGAUCUGCGUAUAUAUUAUUUAUGAUUUGCGGAUAAGACAAUAGAUUCAAUAAAUUCUAGAUAAAAUAAAUUUUAAAUGAAUAUGAUAAAAAUAUAUUAAAAAAUGAACUUUAUUGAAUCGAUUGAGUAUCUCUAUUUUAAAGACUUGUAAGAAUAAUAGGAAUAACAAUAUAUUAAUAUUAAUAUGUUUCUUAAUAAAUUUCAUACCCACUAUCUAUUUAUAAAUUAAUAUAUUAUAAAUAUCUAAUGAUGUCUUAUUUCUCUAACAUUUAAAAUUAAAUUUGUAGAUUCUACAAAACAUUACAUUUUGAUUUUAAUAUUUAUAAAAUAUUUUUUAUUCUCAUAUUUAAAAAACAAAACUUAGUUUGAGUGUAUUCCUUAGUUACUUACUACUCAUCACCAGCCGCCAACAGCGUGAUGGCUUCACUCUCCGUUCGCGCCACAACCACCUCUUAUCGGGCCUCCUUCCGGCCCAAGCCCACCUCGGGGCCCACCAGGGUCCGAAUGUCCCUCCGCGAUGACGGCCCCGCCAUCGCCGUCGUCGGCGUCACCGGCGCCGUUGGCGAGGAGUUCCUCUCCGACCGCGACUUCCCCUACCGUUCCAUCAAAAUGCUGGCCUCGCAGCUCUCCGCCGGCCGCCGCAUCAUCUUCGAGGACAGGGACUACGUCGUGGAGGAGCUCACAGCGGAUAGCUUCGACGGCGUCGACAUUGCGCUCUUUAGCGCCGGCGGUGGUAGACUAUAGCUCCGCAUUUGGGAUGGACGAGAAGGUGACGCUGGUUAUUCCCGAAGUGAAGCCCCAAACGAUGCAACACAUCAAAGUUGGAACGGGAAAAGGCGCUCUGAUUGCGAACCCUAAUUGCUCCACCAUUAUUUGCUUGAUGGACAUACUAAUUAAUAUCAAUUAUAACAAAUAAUGAACGUUUCUGGUCAUUUCUUGUACUUCGCGUUAUUUCAUAACAGUAGUUUUUUUAAAUAAAUUAAGAAAAAUAUUCAUUUUUAAAUUUAAUGCACUUUUAAAUAAUUUGACUAUUAUAAACAUAAUCACUUAUAAAAAUAAUUUUAGAGUAGUUGAUAUAAUUAAAAUAAAAUAUUUUAUUAUUAAAGUAAAAAUUAUAUAUAAAUAAAAAAUAGGUUUUAUUUUAAAAUAAUAUUCAAUUUUAUAAAAGUUUUUUCUUUUUGUCUUUUUUUUUUUAUAUUUCUAACCAUAUUUUUUCGUGAGGUUGAUAAUAGAAUCUCACUUUGGAUUUAUGGGAAUGAAUAAUGAAUUAGUUUUUAGUUUUCUAUUUAUCUAUAUAUAAAGGUGAUACGGUGACAAAUUCCAAAAUUUUAUUAUAAUGUUUGCUUUGUUGAUUGAAAUAGAUGUUAAUUGAUGAAAAAGAUUGAAAGUUUUAAACCCAAUACACCCCUCACGUCGAGGUUAGGUGGACUGAUAAGUUCAGCAAAAUCUCGUUAUGAUAGUUUUUAGAUGACUCUGAUACCACAAUAAAAAAUAAACUUUAAAUUUAACUCAACCUUACAAAACUAAUUUAUAAAGUGAGCUAUGUAUCCCUAGUCGAUGUAGAAUCUCUAACAAUGAUUUAAAUGAAUUGUUAUAUGCUUUAUGAAGUUUAACCUUUAUUUUUACUUGACAAAUUGGAUUUUAAUGAGGUAUAUAUGCUCUCAGCAUCAAAUCCGCUUAACGAAAUUUAUAUGUGUCAAGCGAAUUUGGACAUGUAGAGUUUGAUGUGCUCUUGGCCUCAAAUCCGCUCAAUGUUUUUUUUUCCUGUACUUAAGCAAACUUACAUCCAGAUUUUGGAGUACUUUCGAACUCAAAUUUGCUCAAAGAAAUUUUCUUAUGGUAAGCAAAUUUAAGCGGCUAUUGUUUGGAUGUUCUCUGCCUCAAAUUCGUUCAGUGAAAUUUUCCUGUGCUAAGGAGAUUUCUCUGGGCUUAAGCCCCAACUUCAUGGGCUCGACCCAUUUUGACGACAUUUGUCAUCUUUGCUUAGAUAUCUUUUGGUUUGUUUUCUAUAGGUCAUGAAAUUGAAUUAAAUCUUUUGAAAUUUAUCAUUUUGUAAAUUGUAAGUGAUUACAACUUUCUAAUGUUCAUGCAACAUGUGUUUAAAAUAAGUAAAUCUAACAAAUAAAUACUCGUUACAUAUUCAAUGGAAAGCUUUUUCUUUUAAUUCUUUGGUGUUUUAUUUUGAUGAUGUAUAUAUUUGAAAAUCAAUGUAUGAAUGGAUAAUGCUUUAUGAUAUAAUAAUAUUACAAUGUAAAUGUUAUUUAUAUACUAUCACAUGAUAAAUUAAAAUUUAAUAAGAUAGUUAAGGAUGUUAUAAUUAUUCUUUUAAUUUAUUUUAUUUCACUGUAUAUUUAGGUGUAUUACGUAGAAUGUAUAGUUAAAAAAAUAAUGUUAUUUUGAAAUUUAAAGAAUGACGUAUAGAAAUAAACAAGCUUUUGUUAAAAUUAUACUAUUUGAAAAGGAACACAGAACAAUAUUGACAAUUAUACUUUUACUUAUUACUUAUUUUAAUUUAUUAUAUUCAUGAGUAUUAUUUUUUUUAAACAUAGAUAUUGGAUAAAAAAUAUAAAUAACAUUUAUUUAUUUCAAAUUUAAAAAUCUUUAAAAUAAAAUUAAAUAAUAUUUUUAAUUAAGAUGUGUUUUUUAACAAUUUUUUUAAUUUAAAAAAUAAUUAAUUCGGAGGAUGAUUAAAGAAAUAUUAACAAAUUAUUUCUGCGUUUAUAAUAAACCUUCAAUAAUAUUUGUACUUUCUAGCAUAUAGAAUACUUAAUGGAUCCCUUUGUGAUUUUUCUUUUCUAAAGUGCAAUUGAUAUUUUAAAUGUUUUUCUAUUUAAUUUUCCUUUCUUAAUGACACAUUAAAGGGUUCAGUGCACGAUUAAUUAUUCUCACCUUAGAUUUCAUUCAUCUCAUUCCAUUUCCACACUCAAAUCAUUCUCACAUUUUUUUCUACCUAUUUCACAAAGUUUUAUGUAAAAUAUGGAAAUUAAACUAAAAGAACCCUACUUAUAUAUUAAUAUUCAACAACUUAAAAUAUUACUAUGCAAAUUAAUCUUUCUUAAUAAUGUUAUGUAAAAAUUAAAAUGUAGUUUAGUCAUUCAUACUUAGAUGGAUAAAGAUGGUUUUAGAAAAAAAAUGCAUUUUAUUUCAAAUCUAUUACUUAUAAAAUGAGUUAUAAAAUGAGGUUUGUGAUAUUUAUUCAAAAUUUAAAUUAUAUUAUGCAUUUAUGGUUUUAUGUUUUUAAAGAAAUCAGAAACUUAGAAAAGCUCCUAAAAACUACUGAAAUCCAUAAGAUGAUAAUUAAUAAACAUCCUCUCUUAAUAACAUAACAUAUAAGAUAGGAGUCUUUACACUUAUAUUCUUCAAACAAUUAUAAGCUGUCUUCAACUUUACUGUUAAACUACAAUUAUAAAGAAUUAACAAUCUCACACACCAACAACAUUUAUAAGCCAUCACUCACAUGAAACAAGGUGCCUCAAUGUGAAAAAACCAAGAUCAAUAAGAAAUGAGGUUCCACUUAACCAAGCUGAGAAUUUUCUGGUUUUCCAACUCCAUGCACAAACCUAAUACAAUGAUAUGAUAUUCAAUCAGCAUUAAUUGGCAUAAACAGGUACAUUGUUGUAAAACUGGGAUUAUAAGGUUCCAUAGGAUGGAGAAAAGUAAGAAGAGGAUUUACCAAUUACCCUUUCAAAUGGAGCUCCUCAGGAUUUCAUAAUGCCUUCACUGCAAAUGCAACCCAAAUAUGCUAAAAAAGUUAAUGAAACUAUAUAUGAAGAGUUUCAAGAAAAUGCAACUCUGGGACAACAGAGAAACCCAUCUCAUGCUGAACAGAAACAUCAAACUAUAUCUAACAAUAACUUAGAAAUCUUUGUCAACAAUUGAACGAACCCACUCCUAAAAUGCCAUUGAAAAUGUAAAUAAAACAAAAUAAAUUAAAAACGAGAAAUUCAUAAUAAAAAUUCAACGUGUUGAAACUUAUGAUAACUCAGUUUAGAUCCUGACCAAUGAAAGACUAAUUAGCAGAAGAGGAAGAGACUAGUUGACAGGGUAGCUUUCGGCCUUUCUCUUCCUAUCUUUCCUUGUUUCUCUUGAAGACUGUGCAACAUUGCUUCCACUGGAUUCUUCAAUGUCAACAUCACCACCAUAUUUAUCAUCUUUCUUUUUGGUAUAAAGGGGGCAUAUGCCGCAUUCUUUUAUUGUGAUGUCUGAUGCCAUCACUCUCACACCUGAUUUGUAACUAUACAGACUGAUCUCAAAAGUGAAGCUGCGAGCAUCACAGACCCUAAGGCUCUUGCGGCUCGCCGUUAGGGACUCCAUGUUAAAUUUCCACACGAAUGUGUGAUCUUCAUCAACACAUCUGUGUUCACCAUUCCAUUUGAAAUAGCUGUUUAACACAUCAUUAUUUAGAAUGAUCUGUGUGCCAUCAUCAUCAUCAGAUUCAAAUUUUAGACUGUAACCAAAAGAACCAUAUCUACAUUUAACAGCUUUCGUAUCUAACACUCCAAAAACCACACACAAAGCGAAACCAGUGAGCCUAUCAUCGCUGCAGAAACUUAAAUCUUCAUUUAUAGUCACUGAAUGUCCCUUCCCACGAGAAUGGAACCAACGAGGAACUGCAUUCCCUGGAAAACAGAAGAACACAGACCUAUAUGCAUCGUCGGUCAUCCUAACCCAUGCAUCCUCCUCAAUGUUAGCACGAGCACCUGAAUCCAGUUGCUGAGCAUUGGUGAAAUGAAAUUUGAAGACACCCUCUUUGGAGUUUGAGAAGUUUGGAACAAGAGAAUUUGACAUCACUCUUCUGAUGGAUGGGCAAUCCAAUGCCACGAGUUGUUUUAGAAAUGGUGGAAUCUGUGGGAUGGAUUCAAGUUUUUUGCAGUCGCUUAAAUCGAGCGAGUUCAAGCUUGAAAGAUGAGCAAUGCUCUCAGGAAGGUUCACGAUUCCGCUAUCACGCAGUGACAGUUCCAUUAAUGACGUCAAGCGACCGAUGUGGCUUGGGAUUUCUGUUAAUUUGGCACACCCCGAACAAUCAAGUUUAGAGAGAAGCUUCAGAUUAACAAUGGAGUUUGGAAGUGACUCGAGAUGAAUGCACUCUUGGAGUUCCAGGGAUCGAAGAUUAACGAAAUUGCCAAAUGAGGAAGGCAGUUCUUUAACAGCCGUAGAUGUUAAGUUAAUGUGAGCAAAAGUAUGAGCCGGCUCCGCGAUCUCUGGGAAGGUCCUCAGCCUUGAGCAACCACGCAAAUCAAGGUUCCUCAACUUCAAAUUGAAAAUGGUGCUUGGAAAAGUUUGAAGUGAAUUACAGUGGGUAAGGUCUAACUUGCAUAGUCUGGUGAGGGUUCCAAUGGAAGAUGGAAUAAUCUCAAGAUUCAAGCAACUGCGCAAACUCAGUCCUUGAAGCCCUACCAAACGGCACAAGGAUGAAGGUAGUGCCUGUAUGGCUGUGCCGUCUAAGAUGAGCACCACUAGAUCUUCCAACGUGUCCUGAAUCUCGGGUAAAUUUUCCAAUUUUGAGCAACCACUGAGAGAAAGUUUCUUUAUGAAUUUCAUAUCAGAAAGGUGAAAUGGAAAGAUUGUAAGGGAAGAACAGUGAGAGAGAUCUAAGUAACAGAGCUUCUUGCGAUUAAAGUUGAAGUGACAGAGCUUCAUGAGUUUUGUGAACACUUUAAAACAUAUAGUAUCAUUAGCCACUUCUUCUUCCUUAUAUCUGUCAAAAGUAAUUGAGAAAAUUUCACUGGAAGUUGGGAAAAAAGGACCACGGUGUCGACGUUUACCACGCCGUCCUGAGAAAUUCGUCAUAUCCGGUUCCUGACGAGGGAAUAUUGAGAAAGUUUGAAGUUGACGCUCCAGUAUCACAUGAGGGAAUCUGGGUUUACUGAUCGAAAACAUAUUAAGCUUCGGACAACGGGAAAGAGUAAUCCAUCCUGGUGAUGUGGAUAAAAUGUUGCUGGGAAUAUUUACACUAUUCAGAUCAUUACAAUCAUCUAAACAUAAACAACUGAGCUUGUUGAGGAAUAUCCAAGAGUGAACUUCAAUCAACUUUUCACAACUUUUCAGAAUUAUUUCUUCAAUAUUUGGUGACAUAGAAAGGUCUGGUAUUCUAGUAAGUUUCCGAGAAUAACUCAGGUCGAGCCUUUUCAAGUUGGGUAAAUUCUGCCACAAAUAGGAAAUGAAUGAGGUAACAAAUAAAAACUACUUUAUCUAUUUUUCUUCGGUAAAAUAUUAGCUACAUCAUCUAAUCUAUUCACUUUAUAUUUUACAUUACUUCAAAACCACUGUUAAAAAAAAUCACACUGUCAACUAACAAAACUGUGGCUAUAAAUUUAAUAGUUAUUAUAAAAAACCACAAAAUUUAACGUGUUUUUGUUCCCUACCUCAAAUUACAUCCUAAUAAUUUGAACCUAAACUUAUUAUGUAUUUAAAAACUGAUGAUAGUAAUUUAUAAUCGAUGACAGUGUGGAAAUACUUUAUAUCAUGCAUGUAUCAACUGACAAAAUAAAAUGGUGUUGUCUGAUGAUAGUAAUUUAUAAUCGAUGACCAUCUUUCCAUAAUUUAUUUUAUUAAAUACAUAAUUUGUUGUAUAUUAUAUUGAAGUUUAUGUUAUAAUAAUAAAAAAAUACUUAAUUAGGUUUUGAGUAUCCAGUAAGACAUUUUUAAUUAAUUUUUUUAUUAAAUUUUUUAAUUAUUUAAGUACUCAAAUUUUUUAUAUUUCCAAUAGAAUAUAUGUCAUUUUUAAUUUUUGAGUUAAUUGGGUGAUACAGAAAUUAUCUUGUCACAUGAUCUUACUUACUUGUCUUUAUGUAUUAAGGAAUAUGAAGUUUUAUGAUUGGCCAUUAGACUAUAUACCUAAAAAGAGGAUGCAAACUCUUCUACAUGCUACUAAAUUUAUAACUAUCUUUAAUUAGAAACAUGCUGAGUAUGAUUCUUAUGAUAUAUGUAUAACUGUGUGGUUCAAAUAAAAGAAAUUUCAAAUCGAAUAAUGUGGAGAAGCACAAAGGAAUUGCAAAUGAAAACCAGUAGAUGUAUAAUACAGAAAACAUGCUUGUAUAACUUAUUUUUGUCUUUGAAAGUUUAGAACACAAAGAAACAUAGAUAGCUUGAAAAACCUGAUCUCCUUCCCAGAGUUGUUCAAGAUGGCAGUAUGGCAUUUCGAGGGUCACUAGAUUUUGCGGGCAAAAGUUUGGAGGCAAAGAUCUUUGAGGGAAAUGUUUCCAAUAAAGAAUCUUUAGAGUGUCUGGCAGACCUACAAUAGAUGAUUCAAGAGACACAUUUGACGUGUAUUUUGGCGUGUUGAGCAUAAGCAUCCUAAGAUUGUCCAUCUUUUCGAAACUUUGUGCAUGUACUACAACUUCAUUUACUUUGCUCGUAUCUAGUGAUAUACACUGUAUUGCAUCUAACCCCUGAAAGUAAAUCAAUGUAAUUAGAAAAAAAAAGCAUGAAAUGUUGCUGUAUGGUUAUGGGCAGAUUGAUGAGAUAUGGUAACCUUCGGAUACUGAUCAUGAAGUGACAUAAAGGAGAAGGAAGCGUUACUGAAGGAGAGUAAUGGAAAUUUAUGAGAAAUUAAGCCGUUGGUUACAGAGACUAGGUAGGGACCGAGUCAUCUAUACCAGGGACCGAGUCAUCUAUAAGAGGAGGCAGAGACGAAGAGUAGGGGUAGGAAAAAAAGAUAUGGUUUUUAUAUUAUCUUUGAUGCUCUAGCUAAGGAUCAUCUGUCCUAAAACAGUUGCAUUUCUGGAUGUUUAAUGACAGCUCAAUAGUUUGCAGUUUUUUCACAAAGUAACAACAGAAUAUACCUUGUUUUUUCUUAAAACAUCACAAAUUUCCUCAGCAUUAAACAGUCGGCUGCGUUUUCCAGGAUGCCGACGACACUCUUUACGAACAAUUUCUUGACCCAUUUCUUGUAUUAGAUCGUGCAUCAUAAUAAUACCAUUAAAGACAGAUAUUAGGCACCUAUCUUUGAGAACAUCCAUUACAAUCUUAGUAGAGAAACCAUUGCAGUCAUCAAGUAUUUCUGCCAGCACAAUCUCCUGGUAUCCUCUAUAAAAGCAAGCAAUGUCAAGAAAUAUAUUCUUCUCCACCUCCUCGAGCCCAUCAUAACUUAAUUUUAAUACAUUGAAAAUACCAUGAUGUUGGCCCUUUUUCAACUUUUGCAACUGACUUUCCCAUGCUUCUUUUGUUCUGUCACAAAGCAAUGAGCCCAAAAUCUGGAGAGCUAACGGAAUCCCUUUUGCAUAACUCAACACCUUUCCUGACAGUUCCUUGUAAGCAAUUUCUUCUGAAGAUUUUUGUUUAAAAGCAUGUAAACUAAAAAGUCUUAGAGAAUCAUCAGAAUUCAACUCCUUAACUUCGUAGAUAUCAUCAGCUCUAGCAUUCUUAAGCACUUGUCUGUCUCUACUGGUCAUAAUGAUUCUACUGCCCUGCCUAAAACUAUCACUCCAUCCUAUUAAUUUUUGAAGUUGAGCUGAAUCGGUAACAUCAUCAAGAAUGAGGAGAGCCUUUGUCCGUUUGAGCCUUUCUUUGUAAUAUGGUAAAGAAGAAGAUUUCUCUUCCUUUAGAAGCUCAGACAGAUAUUUUGUUCUGAUACUAUCUAUUCCAUCUCUUUGUAUUUUUUCUUGAACGUCUAAAACAAGGCUGCUGGAAUCAAACUGCAAUGCCAAUUUCUGAUAUAUUUGAUCACAAAUUGUACUUUUUCCUAUUCCUCCCAUGCCCCAAAUUCCUAUGAUCCGAACAUCCGGUGACUCAGGAUGCAACAAGGACUGAAUUCCUUCAAUAUGUUUUUGAAUGCCGAUGAUUCCUUGAUCAUAACUGGUGGAAUAAAGAUUCAAUUUUCCCAAAAUAUCUUCCACAAUUUUUUCAACAAGUUUGUGGUCAUUCCUGGCAGAUGAUUUAGAAAAUAAAGUAUAAGAAUUCAAGCACAAAAGCUAAACUAAACUAAAGAAAAAUUCAGAGUCAAGAGGAGUGAACAUCAUUGAAUAGAUUCACAUAUCGAUUCUAGUUUCGAGUUCUGGAUAAAAUAAAUAAAUUAAAAAGUUGAAGGUAAGUUUAGGACGUUAUCUUCCUAUAUUAGUUUGGUUGGUUUAGUAAUUGCAAAUCAAGAUCGCAGAAAUUCUACAGUAACCGUAUGUGACUUCUGAUAAUAGGGAGCAGAUUUGUAGGUACAAAGUUAAGCUAUAACAUGUGAUAUGGUUCAGAUCCAUGACCGACUAAGAGAAAUGAAAAAAGAAACACUUGAUUUAUGGUGAGAUGAACACAAUUUUAGUAAAUGAAAAGAGAUCCUGAUUAUCUAAUAAAUAUAAUGACCUGGUGACUUUUGAAUCCCAGCCUGCAAGUUCAGCAGCUUCGGUUAGAGCAUCCUUCCAUCCUUGCACUCUGUCCAUGUCGUGCUUAAGCCGCUGUUCAUGCUCAUCAAAUGCUUCUUUGAAUCUUUGUUCCUGCUUCCUAAUAGUUGAUGGAUCCACCUUGUAGAAAACAGGUAUCACAUCCCUUCCAUAUCUCUUCUUGCAUUCAAGUAUCUUAGUGAGUUCAUUCAAGCACCAAGUGGAAGAUGCAUAGUUUUGGGAGAAAACGAUGACAUAAAUCUUUGAUUCUUCUAUUGCAGAGAGUAGUGCAGGUGAAAUUUCUUCGCCCCGGGGUAGUCUCUCGUCAAUAUAUGCUUGAAUGUUCUUCCUUUGCAGUGCUGCAUGAAGGUGACGAAUGAAGUUGUCACGUGUGUCUUCCCCUCUGAAGCUGAGAAACACAUCAUGCUUUGUUAGAGAAGCAGACACGGGGAAUGAUGAAGGACUUCCUGACAUUGGAAUCAAUUUUCUCUCUUUUCUCUUGCAACUCUCAGUGCCUUUGUUUGUACACAAAUCAACUCUUGGAAAAGUCUUUGAAUUUUCUCAAAAGUAUCUUUCACAGAUCACGCACGCGUGGAAACAUAGCUGUGUUAAAAUCCUUAUUUAAGUUUUAAUUGGGCCUUGUAGUGGGCUUUGUAAUGUGCUUUUCUUUUCUCCUACAUUGCUUUAUAUAUACACCUCAGCGUUUGCUUUCUACAUUUCAUUUUACAAAAUACAUUCUCUCAUUUUCUACCUUUUAUAUUGUCUGAUUCCGUUCUCUCUUUAUUUUUUUUCAAAUCUCUUUUGCUUACAAUUUUUUUUUCUUUUUUAAGAAAUGUACUUUUUCAAGUUUAAUUUAAUUUUAUAAAACAGUCAUCUUUCUACAGUAUUAUCAUCUCUUACGUGAGAUUAUUAUAUAUUAUUUGGUGAUCUAAGUAAACUUUUAAUCCAAUAAACUUUAAAAAUAAUUCUAAUACUAUAUUAAAAAAUGAAAUUUAAAUCUAAUUCUAUUUUAUAAAAUAUAUUUAUUCAAUGCUAAAAUAUCUCUAAUUGAGUAGGGAUGUUCAAAAUACUUAUUGGUUCUUGAUUUUCACUUUCACUUUUAAGGUUUUUCUUCGCAGACACGUAGUAAACAGAAAUACAAAAAUAUGAGUCAAUGGAAGAGUCUAACGAUUCGCAGAAUAUUAUGGUGUCUAGCUUUAUACCGCAUUAAUGCGAGGAGUUUCUUUAAUAUUUUUACUCAAUUUAUUUAUUUUUAAUUCUUUUUUUUUUCACACCUUUUACAAAUAAAGAAUCGUAUUUCUUUAAUAUAUUUUAGAAAAUAACCACUAAACCUUAUUAUAAAAUAUAUUUAUGAAAUGCACGUGUAAGAAUAACAGGAAAAAUAUUACUACGAAAAACAAUAUAUUAAUAUUAAUAUGUUUCUUAAUAAAUUUCAUACCCACUGUCUAUUUAUAAAUUAAUAUAAUAUAAAUAUCUUUAAUGAUGUUUUUGUGGGUAGCUUAUUUCUCUAACGCAGAAUAUUAUGGUGUCUACUUUUAUAAAACAUUACAUUUUGAUUUUAAUAUUUAUUAAAUAUUUUUUAUUUGGGAUGAAGUAACGAUGAUGAAUCGAAUGUGUUUUGAAGUCUGACAUAACUUUUAGAGAUGUUAUGAGAACGGUUAAUGACGGAAAUUAUCAAAAACCUUUUGGGGGAAGGUUGUGGUUUUGGGAGGUGAUUUCAGGUAAAUAUUGUUAGUGGUAAAAAAAGGAUUAAGAUAUGAUGUUGUGAAGUCAACAAUCAACUUUUCUCAUUUGUGGUUAAAUUGUCGAGUCUUAAAACUUUCUCAAGGAAAUCCAACACGAUCUAUUGAUUGAGCCCACAAAAACACCUUUGUUAUCAUUGGUGAAUUUUGUUUAUCCUAAUUUAUUGACUGAUAUGUUAUGUCCUGAGUACUUUGAGUAUGGAGCAAUACUUUGUCCGACAACUGAAUCAGUAGAGCAAGUGAAUGAUUUUAUUUUAUCUCUGUUAAGUGGUAAAUAAAUAAAUUAUCUUAGUUCGGAUACACCUUGCCAAUUAGAUUAAGAUCAAGAAUUUAAAGUGAAUGGUUCACUUCUGAGUUCUUAAAUGAGAUAAAAUGUUCAGAGAUACUAAAUCAUCGCCUUCAUUUGAAAAUUGGCGUGCCUAUUAUGCUUUUGAGAAAUAUUGAUCAAACCAACGGUCUUUGUAAUGGAACAAGGUUGCAAGUUAUUGAUUUGAAGAAAAUGUUAUUUGUGCAAUAGUUCUAACAGGAACAAAUAUUGGUGAUAAAAUCUUUAUUUCAAUAAUGAAUUUGAUCCCUUUAGAUGUAGGUAUGCCAUUCAAAUUCUAGAGAAGACAAUUUCCAAUAACUUUAUGUUUUGCAAUGACAAUUAAGAAAAGUCAAAGUCAAUUAUUGACCAAAGUUGGUUUAUAUUUUUCACGUCCAAUUUUCACACAUUGAUAGUUGGAUGUAGCUAUUUAUAGAGUUAGAAAGAAAAAAAUUUAAAAAUUCUAACUCUUGAUGAAGAUGGGAAUGCAACAAACAAGAAAAAGAAAAUGUUUACACUGAAACUUUUGACAAUAUUUAAAAACAAUAGAAUUAUAUGAUAAACUUGGAAUAAUGGCUAAUUCUCCCUGCACCCAAUAUUUUUGAACAUGCAACUUUUAAAUUUGCUCCCUUGUAAUUAUAUUUUCUUAUGUGUGAUGUAGUAACAGUUGCCUUAUUUAAAAUGUUACUAAAUAACAUAUCAUUUAUAUCUGUUAUUUUUAUUCUGUUCUGAUUUUAUAUAUAUGUUAACGAAGUUGAGAAUUUUCUGAUUUUACAGGUCCAUGCACAAACCUAAUAUAAUGAUAUGAUAUUCAAUAUCAAGAGGUACUUGUCGUAAAACGGGGAAUAUGAGAGACUCCAUAGAAUGAAGAAAAAGUAUAAAGAGGAUUUACAAAUUACCCUUUCAAAUGCAGCUCCUCAGAAUUUCUUAAUGCCUUCACUGCAAAUGCAACCCAAAUAAGCUAAAGAAGUUAAUCAAACUAUACAUUAAGAGUUUCAAGAAAAUGAAACUCUGGAACAACAGAGCAACCCAUCUCAUGCUCAAUAGAAACAUCAAACUAUAUCUAACAAUAACUUAGAAAUCUUUGUCAACAAUUGAACGAACCCACUCCUAAAAUGCCAUUGAAAAUGUAAAUAAAUAAAUAAAAAUUAAAAAUGAGAAUUCAUAAUAAAAUUUCAUCGUGUUGAAACUUGUAAUUUAGAAGUAUUACGAUAAGCCAGUUUUGAUCCUCGCGAAUGAAAGACUAAUUAGCAGAAAGACUGUGCAAAAUUCCUUCCACUGGAUUCUUCGAUGUCAACUGAUUUGGUAUAAAGAGGACAUAUGCCGCAUUCUUUUAUUGUGAUAACUGAUUUCAACUCUCUCACAAGUAAUUUGCGAUUUGACCGAUUUGGCCGCAGAAAGGGAUCAUCAUAAUCAUGCGAACUGAUCUCAAAAGUGAAGCUGCGAGCAUCACACAGCCUAAGGCUCAUGCCGCUUGCCCUUAGGGACUCCAAGUUAAAUUUCCACACCAAUGUGUGAUCUUUAUCAACACCUCUCUCUUCAUCAUCCCAUCUGAAAUAGUUGUUUAACACAUCAUUAUUUGGAAUUAUCCGUGUGCCAUGAUCAUCAGAUUCAAAUUUUAGGCUGUAACCAAAGGAACCAUAUCUACCUUUAACAACUUUCGUAUCUAACACUUCAAAAACCACACACAAAGCGAAACCACUGAGCCUAUCAUCGCUUAAAAAACUUAAAUCUUCAUUUAUAGUCACUGAAUGUCCCUUCCCACGAAAAUGGAACCAACCAGGAACUGCACUCCCUGGAAAACAGAAGAACACACACCUAUAUCUAUCGUCGGUCAUCCUAAGCCUUGCAUCCUCCUCAAUGUUAGCACGACCACCUGAAUCCAGUUGUUGAGCAUUGGUCAAAAGAAAUUUGAAGAAACCCUCUUUGGAAUUUGACAAGUUUGGAACAAGAGAAUUGGACAUCACUCUUCUAAUGGAUGGGCAAUCCAAUGCCACUAGUUUUUUUAGAAAUGGUGGAAUCUCUGGGAUGCAUUCAAGCUUUUUGCAGUCGCUUAAAUCAAGCGAUUUCAAGCUUGAAAGAUGAGCAACGCUCUCAGGAAGGUUCACAAUUCCGCUAUCACACAGUGACAGUUCCAUUAAUGACGUCAAGCGACCGAUAUCUCUAGGGAUUUCUGUUAAUCUGGCACACCCCGAACAAUCAAGUUUAGAGAGAAGCUUGAGAUUAACAAUGGAGUUUGGAAGUGACUCCAGAUCAGUGCAUUUGCGGAGCUCCAGGGAUCGAAGAUUAACCAAAUUGGCAAAUGAGGAAGGCAGUUCUUUAACAGCCGUACAUAUCAAGUUAAUGUGAUCAAAAGUAGGAGCCGGCUCUGUGAUCUCUGGGAAGGUCCUCAGACUUGAGCAACCACACAAAUCAAGGUUCCUCAACUUCAAAUUGAAAAUGGUGCUUGGAAAAGUUUGUAGUGAACUACAGUGGGUAAGGUCUAACUUGCAUAGUCUGGUGAGGCUUCCAAUGGAAGAUGGAAUAAUCUCAAGAUUGAAGCAACUGCACAAACUCAGUUGUUGAAGCCCUACCAAACGGCACAAGGAUGAAGGUAGUGCCUGUAUGGCUGUGUCGUCUAAGAUGAGCACCACUAGAUCUUCCAACGUGUCCUGAAUCUGGGGUAAAUUUUCCAAUUUUGAGCAACCACGGAGUGAAAGUUGCUUUAGGAACUUCAUAUCAGAAAGGUCAAAUGGAAAGAUUGUAAGGGAAGAACAGUGAGAGAGAUCUAAGUGACAGAGCCUCUUGAGAUUUUGAAAGUUUGAGGGUACACCUUCGAGUAUUGUCGACACUUCACAUUGUGAGUAUAUAGUAUUAUUACCCACUUCUUCUUCGUUAUAUCUGUCAAAACUAAUUGAGGAAAUUUCACUGGAAGUUGGGAAAAUACCUUUAGCAUUAUGGAAUUUAACAGUCCCUCCCAAAAGUAAACUUGAGAAAGUUGGACGUUGACCCUCCAGUUUCACAUGAAGGUAUCUGGGUUGACUGGUUGAAAACAUUUCAAGCUCCUCACAGUGAGAAAGAAUGAUCAAUCCUGGAGAUGUGGAUAAAAUCUUGUUGGGAAUAUUUACACUUUUGAGAUGAUAACAAUGAUCUAAACAUAAACAACUGAGCUUGCUGAGGAAUAUCGAAGAGUGAACUUUAAUCAACUUUUGACAAUAACUCAGAAUUAGUUCUUCAAUAUUCGGUGACAGAGAAAGGUCUGGUAUUCUAGUAAGUUUCAGAGAAUGACUCAGGUUGAGCCUUUUCAAGUUGGGUAAAUUCUGCCACAAAAAGUAAAUGAAUCAGGUAACAAUGAAAAACUAAAAUAAAGUUUUAUGCAAUUUUAUCUAUUUUUCUUCGGUAAACUAUGAGCUACAUCAUCUAUCGAGUUUAUAUUUUACAUAAAACCACUGUUAAAAAAAUCACACUGUUAACUAACAAAAUUAUGGUCACUAUAAAUUUUAUAGUUAUUAUAAAAAUUCACAAAAUUUAACGUGUUUUUGUUCUCUACCUAAAAUUACAUCCUAAUAAUUUGAACCUAAGCUUAUUAUGUAUUGAAAAACUUACUAUAGUAAUUUAUAAUCCAUGACAAUGUCGAAAUACUUUAUACUAUGCAUGUUAAAAUUUGAUAAAAUGUCGAAAUACUGACAAAAUAAAAAUGGUGUUUUCCGAGAGUUAAAAUUAAACUUUAGUUAAAAUAAGUCCAUCUUUACAUAUUUUAUAAUUUGUUGUAUAUUAUAUUGAAGUUGAUGUUAUAAUAAAAAAAUGACUUAAUUAAUCGAAAAAUGUGGAGAAAACACAAAGAAAUUGCAAAUGCUUGUAUAAUUUAUUUUUAUCUUUGAAAGUUUAAAAGACAAAGGAACAUAGAUAACUUGAAAAACCUGAUCUCCUUCCCAGAGUUGUUCAAGACGGCAGCCUGGCAUUUCGAGGAUCACUAGAUUUUGUGGGCAAAAGUUUGGAGGCCAAAAUCUUUGCGGGAAAUCUCUCCAAUAAAGAAACUUUAGAGUGUCUGGCAGACCUACGAGAGAUGAUUCAAGAGACACAUUUGAUAUGUAUUCAGUUGAGUAGAGUAAAAACGUCCAAAGAUCAUCCAACUCUUUACGAGACACAUCUGAUAUGUAUUUAGUUUUAUUUUGCUCGUAUCUAGUAAUAUACACUGUAUUGCAUCUGACCCCUGAAAGUAAAUCAAUGUAAUUAGAAGAAAAAAACAUGAAAUGUUGCAUUGCAGGAUGUUUGAUGACAGCUCAGUGGUUUGCAAUUUUUCACAAAGUAAAUUAAUGACAGGUCAGUAGUUAUAUACCUUAUUCUUUCUUAAAACCUCACAAAUUUCCUCAGCAUUAAACAAUCGGCUGCGUUUUCCAGGAUGCUGAGGACACUCUUUACGAACAAUUUCUUUACCCAUUUCUUCUAUUAGAUCGUGCAUCACAAUUCUACCAUCAAUGACAGAUAUUAGGCCCCUAUCUUUCAGAAUAUCCAUUCCAAUCUUAGAAGAGAAACCAAAGUCAUCAAGUCUUUCUGCUACCUCAAUCUCCUCGUGACCUCUAUAAAAGCAAGCUAUGUCAAGAAAUAUAUUCUUCUCCUCCUCCUCCAGCCCAUCAUAACUUAAUUUUAAUACAUUGAAAAUACCAAGAUGUUGGCCCUUUUUCAACUUUUGCAACUCACUCUCCCAUGCUUCUCUUGUUCUGCCAUAAAGCAAUGACCCCAAAAUCUGGAGAGCUAACGGAAUCCCUUUUGCAUAUCUCAACACCUUUUCUGACAGGUCCAUGUAAGAUUUUUCUGCUGAAGAUUUUUGUUUAAAAGCAUGUAAACUAAAAAGUUUAUGAGAAUCAUCAAAAUUCAACUCCUUAACCUCGUAGAUAUCAUCAGCUCCAGCAUUUCUAAGCACUUGUCUGUCUCUACUGGUCAUAAUGAUUCUACUGCCCUGCCCAAAACUACCACUCCCUCCUAUUAAUUUUUUAAGUAUAGCUGAAUCGGUAACAUCAUCAAGAAUGAGGAUAGCCUUUGUCCGUUUGAGCCUUUCAUUGUAAUAUGAUAAAUCAGGGGAUUUCUUUAUCUCUUCCUUUAGAAGCACAGACAGAUAUUUUCUUCUGAUACUGUCUAUUCCAUCUCUUUGUAUUUUUUCUUGAACGUCUAAAACAAGGCUGCUGGAAUCAAACUGCACUGCCAAUUUCUGAUAUAUUUGAUUACAAAUUGUAGUUUUUCCUAUUCCUCCCAUGCCACAAAUUCCUAUGAUCCGAACAUCCGUUGACUCAAGAUGCAACAAGGACUGAAUUCCUUCAAUAUUUUUUUCAAUGCCGAUGAUUCCUUGAUCAUAACUGGUGGAAUAACGAUUCAAUUUUCUCAAAAUAUCUUCCACAAUUUCUUCAACAAGUGCGUGUUCUGGCCUGGCAGAUGAUUUAGAAAAUAAAGUAUAAGUAUUCAAGCACAAAAGCUAAAGUAAACUAAAGAAAAAUUUUACAGUAACCGUUUGUGACUUCUGAUACUAGGGAGCAGACUUGUAGGUACAAAGUUAAACUAUAAGAUCAGAUAUGGUUCAGAUCCAUGACCGACUAAGAGAAAUGAAAAAAGAAACACUUGAUUUAUGGUGAGAUGAACACAAUUUUAGUAAAUGAAAAGAGAUCCUGAUUAUCUAACAAAUAUAAUGACCUGGUGACUUUUGAAUCCCAGCCUGCAAGUUUAGCAGCUUCAGUUAGAGCAUCCUUCCAUCCUUGCACUUUAUCGUGCUUAAGGUGCUGCUCAUGCUUUUCGAAUGCUUCAUUGUAUCUUUGUUCCUGCUUCCUAAUAGUUGAUGGAUCCACCUUGUAGAAAACAGGUAUGACAUCCCUUCCAAAUCUCUUCUUGCAUUCAAGUAUCUUAGUGAGUUCAUUCAAGCACCAAGUGGAAGAUGCAUAGUCUUGGGAGAAAACGAUGACAUAAAUCUUUGAUUCUUCUAUUGCAGAGAGGAGAGCAGGUGAAAUUUCUUCGCCCCUGUUUAAUCUGUAAUCAAUAUACGCUUCAAUGUUCUUCCUCUGCAGCGCUGCAUAAAGGUGACUAAUGAAGUUGUCACGUGUGUCUUCCCCUCUGAAGCUGAGAAACACAUCAUGCUUUGUUAGAGAAGUAGACACGGGGAAUGAUGAAGAACUUCCUGACAUUGGAAUCAAUUUUCUCUCCUUUCUCUGCAAAUCUCAGAUUCCUUUGUUUGUACCAUUUCUACCUGAAGAAGUGUUUAAAUUUUCUCAAAAUACCUUGCACAGCGUGUUCUGGUCAGACAUAAAGAAAAAGACAAAUAUUAAGUUAAUAGAAUAGUCAACAAUUUAAAAAAUAAGUAUGAAAUAUAGAUAUAUAUCAUUAUCACGUGUGGAAGCUACGUCGUCUUGUAUUGGAUUUUCUAAUCUGCCUUUUAUCUUGUCUCAUUCUUCUUUAUCUUUUUUCUCUCAUCUCUCUUGCUUACGAUUUCUUUGCCUUUAUUCAGAAAUUUUAUUUAUAAUAAACCUUCAAUAAUAUUUGUACUUUCUAGCAUAUAGAAUACUUAAUGGAUCCUUUUCUGAUUUUUCUUUUCUAAAGUGCAAUUGAUAUUUUAAAUGUUUUUCUAUUUAAUUUUCCUUUCUUAAUGACACAUAAAAUGGUUCAGUGCACAAUUAAUUACUCUCACCUUAGAUUUCAUUCAUCUCAUUCCAUUUCCACACUCAAAUCAUUCUCACAUUUGUUUCUACCUGUUUCACAAAGUUUUAGUUAAAAUAUGGAAAUUAAUGUUCAAGAACCCUACUUAAUAUUAAUAUUCAACAAUUUAAAAUAUUAAAAUGCAAAUUAAUCUUUCUUAAUAAUGUCAUUUUUAUGUAAAAAAUAAAAUGUAGUUUAGUCAUUUAUACUUAGAUGGAUAAAGAUGGUUUUAGAAAAAAAAAUGCAUUUUAUUUCAAAGGUUAUCUAAGCUCUGAACUCAUUUAUGAAUUAAUAAUAAUAAAUAAUAUGUAAUUGUAUUCCAAUACCAUAUAAUUUUUUUUAUUGGGUGCGUUUCUGAUGAAUUAAUUAAUGCACUCUAGGGACAAUGAUCGCUCUAGUAUUUGAUUUUUUUAUUUAUUUUAAUGUUGAAAUUAUAGCUAUUUAGUACAGAUACUAUUGACACCGACACAGAUACGACACAGACACAGAGAUACUUAAAAUCUCUAAAAUGUAAGAUACAGAGACAUUAAUCUAUAUAUUAUAUAAUUAUGAAUUAUAUAAAUUAACAAUAAAGACUUAUGUGCACAAGUAUUUUGGAGAUUAUUUUUUAAGCAGAAAUAUGUUUUUCAUGACUGUUUCACAAAGAUUUGUUUCUUAUUUUUAUAAUCAUAAUAACAAUUUAUACCAUAAAGUUUGAAUUUUAGAAAAUUAAUGUAUUUUUUCUUUUUAAAAUUCCGUUAGAAUCGUACUAAAAUUGUAAAAAAUCUAACAAAUACAUUUUGAAUUGGACAUUUCACAAAUACAUGUCCUACCAGUAUCAUACGAAUGUAAACAAAAUUCUUUCUUCAUAUGCCGCAUUCUUUUACUGUGAUAACUCAUUUCAACUCUCUCACAACUGAUUCGUAAUCUGUGGGAUGCAUUAAAGCCUUUUGCAGUUAAAUCAAUAGUAUAUGAUGAUGUGAAUGUUAUUUAUAUACUAAAUAUAAUCACAUAGUAACUUCAAAUUUGAUAAGGUACAACAUGUUACCAUAUCUCUUUUAAUUUCUUUUAUUUCAUUAUAUAUUUAGGUGUAUUUAAUUUCUUUUUAUUUCAUUGUGUAUUUAGGUGUAUUACGUAAAAUAUAUAAUUAAAAAGAAAGAAGAAUAAUGUUAUUUUUAAAUUUAAAGAAUGACAUAUAGAAAUAAACAAGCUAUUUUGAAAUUUUUAGAUUUUACAAAACAUUACAUUUUGAUUUUAAUAUUUAUAAAAUAUUUUUUAAUUUCAUAUUUAAAACACAACACUUAGUUGAGUGUGUUCCUUAGUUACUUACCAAAUAACAACAUACAUCUUAUCGGGUCUUUUUGCGACCCGACCCAAACUCAUCUCGAUCCUAGUAGGGUUCGCAUCAUCUUCAAUUGAGGAGUAGAUUUGUCAGGAGGAAAAUAAAUUGAUUUAUAAGAACAUGUGAAGUUGUUUAGAUUGAGGAAUAAUAGAUGGAUUUUGAUUAUGAUUUAUGGUAAGUUUAAAAAAAAUAGAUUUGUUUCUUUUAACAUUUUUUGUAUUAUAAUUAUUUGCUGGCUGAAUUGUUUUGAGUUAACAUGUUUUCUUGGGGUAUGAUAUUGUGAGGUUUUAUUACAUGCAGGUACGUGAAUAUUUUUUUUAUUCUAGUUGUAUAAAUCAGGAAAAAAUGUUUUUCACAAUAUAAUUAUAAUAACCGUUUAACAACCUAAAUAAUAAUAAAAUAUUAACUCAUAUUAUUUAAUUAAAUUAUUAAAUAAAAAGUAGUAAAACUGAUUGUAGGAUGGGAAUAUGAUUAUUUUUAACUGCUAGCUCCUCAUUAUUCUUUUAUAAUAAAAAACACACUAGUAGGUGUUGAAAAUCGUAAUAUAACAAACAAGUUUUGACACACGUAGGUUUGGCAAUUGUUUUAAUAGCUGAAAAUAGUAAAACAAUUUUUAAUUACCACAAACUGCAUCUUAAAUCAUAAAAAAUAGCAUUUUUUAGUUCAUAUAUAAUAACAUUUCCAUAAAUAAAUCUCCCGCCGCCAUUGAUAUUAAUCAUUAAUAAUUUUAGAUAAUAUUUUUUACUAUAAAACAUUUAAUUGAGAUUGAAUUUUUAAUUCACACUUUUUGGUCAAAGAAUAAUAUAUUUCAUUUUUUUAUUUAUUAAAUAUUUUGUAUAAUGCUGAGAAAAAAAAAUCUCACACACACACACACAUAUAUAUAUAUAUGAUCCCUAUGUCCUACAAGUACAAUAUAACAUCGUUAGUAUAAUGAAUAAAAAUAAUGAGUAUUCAAAGUCGUGUAUUUACGUAAAAGAAUAACAUGAUUUUUAAAAGAACUCACAUUAUCAGUUUAAAUUUUGACGAUAAAAUACAUUAAUUAUAUAUAUUUAUUCAAAAUUUCAAUUAUAUUAUGCAUUAAUGGUUUUAUGCUUUUAGAGGAAUCAGAGAAACUUAGAAAAGCUUAAUGAAACCCUAUGAAUAAAGGAGAUGUAAAAGAAAGAGAAAAAGGAAGUGAGAAAAGAUGAUAAUUAAUAAACACCCACUCUUCAUAACAUAGAGUCUUUAAACCUAUAUUCCCUCAAACAGCAUUUAUAAGUUAUUAUCACCCACAUGGAAUAAGGUGCCUCAAUGUGAACAAACCAAGAUCAGUAAGAAAUAUGAGGUUCAAAUAACGAAGCUGAGAAUUUUCUGGUUUUACAGCUCCAUGCACAAACCUAAUACAAUGAUAUGAUAUUCCAUAGGAUGGAGAAAAGUAUGAUAUGAAGAGGAUUUACCAAUUACCCUUUCGAAUGCAGCUCCUCAGGAUUCCAUCAUGCCUUCACUGCACAUGCAACCCAAAUAUGCUAAAGAAGUUAAUCAAACCCAAAUAUAAAGAAUUUCUAGAGAAUGCAACUCUGGGACAACAGAGUACCCCAUCUCAAGCUGAACAGAAACAUUAAACUAUAUCUAACAAUAACUUAGAAAUCUUUGUCAACAAUGAACGAAUCCAACCGUAAAAUGCCAUUGAAAAUGUAAAUAAAACAAAAUAAAUUAGAUAUGAGAAAUUCAUGAUAAAAUUUCAACACUUGUAAUGUAGAAGCAUUACGAUAAGCCAGUUUUGAUCCUCACCAAUGAAAGUCUAAUUAGCAGAAGAGGAAGAGACUAGUUGACUGGGUAGCUUUCUGCAAUGCCUAUUUUAAGGUUACGCUUCCGGCAAAAAUAUAAUAGAAGACUGCUCUCAUGUCAAAGUUUCUCAUACAUAGAACAACCCGCAAAAGAGAUUAAACAUUCCAAAAGAUGUCUCAACAGAAAUGAAAUGAGAUCCUAACAACUUGUUGGGAAAGUACUAUUUUGCCUUCAAUUCCAUUACUUCCUUUUGCCUUUAAGAGUGCAGUCAUAAUCAUCAAAAUACUUAGACUUUGUGAUAUGUCUUUUGGGCUUGCUAUUCAUCUUUUGUUGCCUCCUCUUGAGCCAUAACACUUUUGGCCUUCCUCUUCCUAUAUUCCCUUGUGUCUCUUGAAGACUGUGCAACAUUACUUCGACUGGAUUAUUCAAUGUGAACAGCACCACCAUAUUCAUCAUCUUUCUUUUUGGAAUAAAGAGGGCAUAUGCCGCAUUCUUUUACUCUGAUAUCGGGCCACCAAUGGCUGAUCUCAAAAGUGAAGCUGCGAGCAUCACAGAGCCUAAGGCUCAUGCCGCUUGCCCUUAGGGACUCCAAGUUAAAUUUCCACACAAAUGUGUGAUCUUUAUCAAGAAAUCUGCCUGCAUCCGUCAAGUUUAACACAUCAUUAUUUGGAAUGAUCUGUGUGCCAUCAUCAUCAGAUUCAAAUUUUAGGCUGUAACCAAAAGAACUAUAUCUACCUUUAAUAUCAUUCGUAUCUAACACUUCAAAAACCACGCACAAAGAGAAACCAGUGAGCCUAUUAUCGCUGCAAAAACUUAAAUCUUCAUUUAUAGUCACUGAAUGUCCCUUCCCACGAAAAUGGAACCAACCAGGAACUGCACUCCCUGGAUAACAGAAGAACACAGACCUAUAUGCAUCGUCGGUCAUCCUAAGCCUUGCAUCCUUCUCAAUGUUAGCACGACCACCUGAAUCCAGUUGUUGAGCAUUGGUGAAAUGAAAUUUGAAUACACCCUCUUUGGAAUUUGAGAGGUUCCGAACAAGAGAAUUUGACAUCACUUUUCUAAUGGAUGGGCAAUCCAAUGCCACGAGUUGUUUUAGAAAUGGUGGAAUCGGUGGGAUGCAUUCAAGCUUUUUGCAGUCGCUUAAAUCAAGCGAUUUCAAGCUCGAAAGAUGAGCAAUGCUCUCAGGAAGGUUCACGAUUCCGCUAUCACGCAGUGACAGUUCCAUUAAUGACGUCAAACGACCAAUGUGCCUUGGGAUUUCUGUUAAUUUGGCACACCCCGAACAAUCAAGUUUAGAGAGAAGCUUCAGAUUAACAAUGCAGUUUGGAAGUGACUCGAGAUCAGUGCAUUUGCGGAGCUCCAGGGAACGAAGAUUAACGAAAUUGGCAAAUGAGGAAGGCAGUUCUUUAACAGUCGUAGAUGUUAAGUUAAUGUGAGCAAAAGUAUGAGCCGACUCCGUGAUCUCUGGGAAGGUCCUCAGCCUUGAGCAACCACGCAAAUCAAGGUUCCUCAACUUCAAAUUGAAAAUGGUGCUUGGAAAAGUUUGAAGUGAAUUACAGUGGGCAAGGUCUAACUUGCAUAGUCUGGUGAGGCUUCCAAUGGAAGAUGGAAUAAUCUCAAGAUUGAAGCAACUGUGCAAACUCAGUUGUUGAAGCCCUACCAAACGGCACAAGGAUGAAGGUAGUGCCUGUAUGGCUGUGUCGUCUAAGAUGAGCACCGCUAGAUCUUCCAACGUGUCCUGAAUCUCGGGUAAAUUUUCCAGUUUUGAGCAACCACUGAGACAAAGUUGCUUUAGGAAUUUCAUAUCAGAAAGGUCAAACGGAAAGAUUGUAAGGGAAGAACAGUCAGAGAGAUCUAAGUAACAGAGGUUCUUGAGACUUUGAAAGUUUAAGGGCACACCUUCCAAGAGACUGUUGAACACCUCUGAGUCUUCUGAGUCUGUAGCAUUAUUAGCCACUUCUAUAUUAUAUCUGUCAAAAGUAAUUGACAAAAUUUCACUGCUUGGGGAAAUUUCACUGGAAGUUGGGAAAUUUAUCUCUUUCGUCAUAUCCAGUUCCUGACGCUCCAGUAUGACAUGAGGGAGAAAUUUAUCUUCAUGUUUACUGAUUGAAAACAUAUUAAGCUUCCGACAAUGGGAAAGAGUAAUCCAUCCUGGUGAUGUGGAUAAAAUGUUGCUCGGAAUAUUUACACUAUUCAGAUCAUCACAAUGAUCUAAACAUAAACAACUGAGUUUGCUGAGGAAUAUCGAAGAGUGAAUUUCAAUCAACUUUUUACAAUAACUCAGAAUUAUUUUUUCAAUAUUUGGUGACAUAGAAAGGUCUGGUAUUCUAGCAAGUUUCCAAGAACGUGUCAGGUCGAGCCUUUUCAAGUUGGGUAAAUUCUGCCACAAAAAGUAAAUGAAUCAGGUAACAAAUAAUAACUACUUUAUCUAUUUUUCUUCCUAUUUAAACUAUUAGCUACUACUAUUGAGUUUAUAUUUUACAUUACUUAAAAACCACUGUUAAAAAAGCCACACUGUGGACUAACAAAAUUAUAUUUUAAAAUAUUAUUAAAGAUAAAAUAUGAAGAUAGGGUAAUUAAAUUAAAUAUAAUUUUUAUUUUUCAGAAAUGAUGAAAAUUAUAAUUAAAUUAACUAAAUUAUAUAAAAUUCCAUUUUAUUUACAUAACUCCUUUUCAUAUUAAAAAACUAUAUAAGAUCUUGAAACUAUAAUUAAUAUCUUAAAAAUUUAAAUAAUAAUAAUUAUUUCUACUCAUCCUUAAUUUUUGUUGGUGAAAUCUUGAUUUUUGGGAUAAUAUCACUUAAACUUAAGAAAUAUUUGACAUUAAUGAACUCUAAACAAAUUUAUAUAAGAAAUCAAGACAUCACUUUCAAUCCGAAAUCUUAAACUAAUAGGUUUAUGGAUUUUCUUUAUAUGUUGUUCAUCUUACCAAUUUGAACCCAAUGCGAGACUUUCAACUCUAAGAGAUGAAGUGGUGUACUUUAUGCUUCUAGGACUUGUUAGAUAUUGAAACAUGUACCAUUGCUAAAAUGUUUGAAUGAAGGAGAAGUCAAAGUCUCUCUCCUUUAGAGAUAUUCGCUCAAGUGGCAAGAGGUUGAUUAAGCAAGAGAGAGAUCGUAUUAAUUCUCUCUUCUAUGCAAUUGUUGUCGUUCAAACAAUGUGGAAUCAUUCAAGCAAAGAAAUCUUCUUUUGGGUUAGGAAACAAGGUUUUUCAAGCGAGAUAAACUCGUCUAAAGAAUUUAACUCUAGUAGUGAAAUGUUGUUGCCAUGAUUUAGCCAAGUGUUUGUAUCUAUGAGGCUAAUGAUGAUGAUGACGAUGAUAAGAUGCAUGAAUGUGUAUACACAAGUGUAUGAUAUACCUCAUGUUAUAUAUUGUAUGUGAUUCAAUUGAUGACCAUUUAUUUUUAGGCCAUUUAUAUGUAUAUUUUGGCCCUUUUAUGAGUAUGUGACGAGAUAUACCUAAGAUUGUAUUAUGAUCCUAAUGAGUCGAAGUAUCAAACACAAAACUCAUUAUGGAAAAAAAAAGAUAUUUUGUGCAUCAGUUAUGAUAUGAUCACAACAAUUAAAGCAUGUGUGAACGGUUAAUAUUGUUCUUAAUAAGAAAACAAAUAAUAUUGUAUGUGACAUUAGAGAUGUCAAAUAGGUUUAGAAAAUUAUUAAGUUUAAUUAUCUUUUUAGUCUUUAUAUUAAUGACCAAAAGUCAAUUCAGAUUUUUAGAAAGUUCAAUAUGAUUUAAUUUUUUAAAAAACAAUUCAAUGUGAUUCCUUCUAGUAUAUUUCCCUUAUUAAAAUAUUUUUAUCUUAAUGAUUCUGCCACUGUUAAGUUAUAUGUGUUGUUAUCACAUUGAAUUGUUUUAAAAAAAUUUGGAACCACCACAUUAAAUUGUUUUAAAAAGUUAGUACUAAAUUGAACUUUUGAAAAUUGGGAGAAUGAAAUUAAAUUUUGUCUAUUAAUACAGGGACAAAAAAUAAUUGAAUCAAAUAUUUUACUAUUUUUGUGAUGUAUAUUUAUAUAUAAAUAAUUUUGAGAAUUUAGAGUUACAAUGUGUUAUAUCAUAUAUAUAUAAUUCUUUUUGGUAAUGUAUCCUGUAGUUGUAAGCAAGUAUGAUUAUAUUAAGUGGGGCGUUUCAAAUAGUGGAGACUACGCAUAUACAAAUAUCUCUUAUAAAGUAAGAAAACAAAACAAUCGUUACUCAAGAAGAUCAUGCAAUGCAUCACAGACAACAUGGGAGAUAUAUAUCAACAAUAAUAUGAGUAAAUAAUACAUUCAUGGGCCAUUAGACGAUAUGCCUAAAAAAAAUAUGCAAACUAUUAAAUUUAUAAUUAUUUUUAAUUAGAAACAUGCUGAGUAUGACUCUUAUGAUAUAUGUAUAACUGUGUGCUUCAAAUAAAAGAAAUUUCAAAUCGAAUAAUGUGGAGAAGGCACAAAGGAAUUGCAAAUGAAAACCUGUAGAUGUAUAAUACACAAAACAUGCUUGUCUAAUUUAUUUUUAUCUUUGAAAGUUUAGAACACAAAGGAACAUAGAUAACUUGAAAAACCUGAUCUCCUUCCCAGAGUUGUUCAAGAUCGCAGUAUGGCAUUUCGAGGAUCACUAGAUUUUGUGGGCAAAAGUUUGGAGGCCAGAAUCUUUGAAGGAAACCGUUCCAAUAAAGAAACUUUAGAGUGUCCGGCAGACCUACAAGAGAUGAUUCAAGAGACACUUUUGAAUUCAAUCUAGGCAUGUAGACCAUAAGCAUCAUAAGAUUGUCCAUCUUUUCGAAACUUUGUGCAUGUACUACAGCAUCUUUUACUUUGUUCGUAUGAUAUUGAUAUACACUGUAUUGCAUCUGACCCCUGAAAGUAAAUCAAUGUAAUUAGAAAAAAAAACAUGAAAUGUUGCAUUUCAGGAUGCUUAAUGACAGCUCAGUAGUUUUCUAUUUUUCACAAAGUAACAACAGCAUAUACCUUGUUCUUUCUUAAAACCUCACAAAUUUCCUCAUCAUUAAACAAUCGGCUGCGUUUUCCAGGAUGCUGAGGACACUCUUUACGAACAAUUUCUUUACCCAUUUCUUGUAUUAGAUCGUGCAUCACAAUUCUACCAUCAAAGACAGAGAUUAGACCCCUAUCUUUGAGAAUAUCCAUUCCAAUCUUAGAAGAGAAACCACAGUCAUCAAGUGUUUCUGCUACCACAGUCUCCUCUUGCCCUCUAUAAAAGCAAGCUAUGUCAAGAAAUAUAUUCUUCUCCUCCUCCUUGAGCCCAUAAUAACUUAAUUUUAAUACGUCGAAAGUUCCAAGAUCUUGGCCGUUUUCCAACUUUUGCAACUGACUCUCCCAUGCUUCUCUUGUUCUGCCAUAAAGCAAUGACCCCAAAAUCUGGAGAGCUAACGGAAUUCCUUUUGCAUAUCUCAACACCUUUACUGACAGGUCCAUGUAAGCAAUUCCUUCUGAAGAUUUUUGUUUAAAAGCAUGUAAACUAAAAAGUUUCAGAGAAUCAUAAAAAUUCAACUCCUUAACUUCGUAGAUAUCAUCAGCUCCAGCAUUCUUAAGCACUUGUCUGUCUCUACUGGUCAUAAUGAUUCUACUGCCCUGCCCAAAACUAUCACUCCCACCUAUUAAUUUUUGAAGUUGAGUUGAAUCGGUAACAUCAUCAAGAAUGAGGAGAACCUUUGUCCGUUUGAGCCUUUCAUUGUAAUAUGGUAAAUAAGAGGAUUUCUCUUCCUUUAGAAGCUCAGACUGAUAUUUUGUUCUGAUACCGUCUAUUCCAUCUCUUUGUAUUUUUUCUUGAACGUCUAAAACAAGGCUGCUGGAAUCAAACUGCAAUGCCAAUUUCUGAUAUAUUUGAUCACAAAUUGUAGUUUUUCCUAUUCCUCCCAUGCCACAAAUUCCUAUGAUCCGAACAUCCGUUGACUCAAGAUGCAACAAGGACUGAAUUCCUUCAAUAUUUUUUUCAAUGCCGAUGAUUCCUUGAUCAUAACUGGCGGAAUAACGAUUCAAUUUUCUCAAAAUAUCUUCCACAAUUUCUUCAACAAGUGCGUGUUCUGGCCUGGCAGAUGAUUUAGAAAAUAAAGUAUAAGUAUUCAAGCACAAAAGCUAAAGUAAACUAAAGAAAAAUUUUACAGUAACCGUUUGUGACUUCUGAUACUAGGGAGCAUACUUGUAGGUACAAAGUUAAGCUAUUGUGUGAUAUGGUUCAGAUCUAUGACCGACUAAUAGAAAUGAAAAAAGAAGCACUUGAUUUAUGGUGAGAUGAACACAAUUUUAGUAAAUGAAAAGAGAUCCUGAUUAUCUAAUAAAUAUAAUGACCUGGUGACUUUUGAAUCCCAGCCUGCAAGUCCAGCAGCUUCGGUGAGAGCAUCCUUCCAUCCUUGCACUGUGUCGUGCUUAAAGUGCUGCUCAUGCUCAUUGAAUGCUUCUUUGUAUCUUUCUUCCUGCUUCCUAAUAGUUGAUGGAUCCACCUUGUAGAAAACAGGUAUCACAUCCCUUCCAUAUCUCUUCUUGCAAUCAAGUAUCUUAGUGAGUUCAUCCAAGCACCAUGUGGAAGAUGCAUAGUUUUUGGAGAAAACGAUGACAUAAAUCUUUGAUUCUUCUAUUGCAGAGAGGAGUACAGGUGAAAUUUCUUGGCCCCUGAGUAAUCUGUAAUCAAUAUAUGCUUGAAUGUUCUUCCUUUGCAGCGCUGCAUAAAGGUGACUAAUGAAGUUGUCACGUGUGUCUUCCCCUCUGAAGCUGAGAAACACAUCAUGCUUUGUUAAAGAAGCAGACAUGGCCAAUGAUGAAGGGUUUCAAUGUUCUCUGCAACUCUCAGAUCCCUUUGUUUGUAAGCAACUUCCAUAUAUUCUAUUAGGAAGGAAAAUAUAUAUUUCUACCAUUCCUACCACAAAUUGAAAAAGCCUUUCAAUUUUCUCAAAAUAUCUUUCACAGCUGUGUUCUGUCAGAUACGAAACAUUGAGUCAAUGGAAGAGUCAACAAUUGGCAGAAUAUUAUGGUGUGUAGCUUUAUACCAUUCUUACAAUAUUUGAUUGGUUGAAUAUAUACAAUAUGACUAAUGAACUUUUUUCUUUUCCGUAUUCCACGAUAAUUCCCUAGGCACCCUAUUAUACACUUUCUUAUCAACGGAAACCAUGUCUGUCCUUUUAUAGUUUUAAUCCUAUAAUAUCUUUCCAUUAAUCAUCAUUAUCACUCUUCAACCUUCAUAUCAAGUGUAUUGAUUUCAUACUUCAUCAGCUAGACAUAAUAAAAUCUCAAUAAUCUUUUAUACUGUCAACAUUUAUAAAAAAUAUUUCCUUCAAUAAUAUUUGUACUUUCUAGCAUAUAGAAUACUUAAUGGAUUCUUCUGUGAUUUUUCUUUCCUAAAGUACAAUUGAUAUUUUAACAGAUGCCGAAAGGUCUUGAAUAUGAGGCUGUUUCGAAAUGAAAAUUGGGGUAAAGCAUUUUCAAGUUAACAAGUUUUGUUGGGUGAGUGAGUGAUCAGUGCUAGCAUUUUCAAUCUCAGUUAUAGAAUGUAAAGAUUUACACAUUUAUUUGCUGAUUAAUAAUUUAUUUAUUGAAUUAAAUGUUUUAACAGUGAGUAUGGAUUCUUGAAUGAAUGUAAUCAUGGUGUAGAAUGUACAUAGUACAUAUAGUGAGUUGGAUUGAAAUGUUGAACACGUUUUCCUCUGCAAAGAUUCAGGAUAUUUAUGAACUUGCUAUAAAUUGUUUUAACUUUUCUCUGCAACUCUCAGUCCCUUUGUUUCUACCAUUUUGUUUUUGAAAAGCCUUUCAAUUUUCUCAAAAUAUCUUUCACUGCUGUGUUCUGUCAGAUACGAAACAUUGAGUCAAUGGAAGAGUCAACAAUUCGUAGAAUAUUAUAUUAUGGUGUCAAUAUUUAAUAAAUUUAUUUAUUUCUUUAACAUAUUUUAGAAAAUAACCAGUAAACAUAAAACUUUUAGUAUGACUAAAAGAAUAAAGAUAGUGUAAGAAUAACAGGAAUAACAUUACUACAAAUAACAAUAUAUUAAUAUUAAUAUGUUUCUUAAUAAAUUUUACACCCACUGUCUAUUUAUAAAUUAAUAUAUUAUAAACAUCUAUUGAUUUUUUGUGGGUAGCUUAUUUCUGUAACAUUUUAAAUUAAUUUUUUAGAUUUUACAAAACAUUACAUUUUGAUUAUAAUAUUUAGGACUGUGAUGCAAUUUCUGCAAUGAAGGCUGGCAGACUAAGUUUCUCCAAGCCCAAUUAAUACUGGGUUGAAAAUUCUGAGAAGAGGGUGAGUAUGAUGCUGCGGUCAUGAUCUAUGUAUUAAAGUGUUAAGGCAUGGGUUUGGUUGACAGGACAAUACUGGUUUUUCAUUGCUACUACUUAAUAUGAUUCUUUCUUACUGCUAUAUGAAUUUGCUGUCAAAUAGCAGUAAAUAAAAGACUUCAAAUAAAGCAUGUGUUUAUCAUACAUGGACUAAUGCAGCAGUUUUAGUAGAAGGGGCUAAUAUGAUUUUAAUCUAGAACAAGAUGGCUAAACCCAAAGAUGGUGGGAAUAAUAUCCUCAAAUCAAUUGUUUUGGUUUUCAGUGUAAUGUCAUUUGUAAGUAUCAAAAUUUGUUUGUUAUCACAUUGGAAGGUAGUAUCUGUCAUGAAAUUUGUGGAAGACCUUUACCUAUGUUUGCUUUGGGUCUGUUUUACGCCCUCUCGAAUUAAGUAAAUUUUUAAUUGCCAUCAUGAAAUUAGGCUAAAUAUGUGUAGUUUUGAGCACUUUCUUUCUUCCAUUUCAAUUCAUAGUUUCAUACAUAUUCAAUAUCAUGUGGGAAUUAAGUUCUUGCUUUUAAGGUGAAUAACAGUUUGUAUUCUUGCAGAAAACUAUUUUCUAAUGCAUAUAAAUUUCAUUUUCUAUUUUCAGCAUUGGAUUAUGUUAUGUAAUUUUUCCUUUGUAUUAUACAGAGUAGGAUUUUAAUGUUUCUACUGAACAGUGCUAUCUUUUUUCGUCCAUAUUCUGAUUUUGUUCAAUUUUUUUCAGUAUGUGCCACAUGCAGAUCAGAUGUAAGGAAUUUUCUAAAUUUUUUUUCAAGCUUUCUUGUUUGCUUAAAGUUUUCUGUAAGUAUUUAACUGUCUUAAGUUGUUAAUGAGGACUAAGGACUGAAAAAGAGAAUUAGCCAUGACAUGGUGGCAUUAUCCUUCUUCAAAACCAUUAGUUUUUUUUCCUACAAAGAUACAUGUCAAGAAAGCAAACCAGGAACAAAAGUGAUGUUUAUGAUUGCUUUCUCUCUUGUUUACUUGCUUUCUUUUUGUUGGACAAUUGUCUUAAUUGCAUUCACACCUAACCUGCAGUAGUUUCAGUCCCUUUGGGGUUGUCAUAAUUGCAGCCUCAAGAGUGGUGGUGUAGUCCAACAUCAACCAGUGAUAUAGUUCAAAUAUAGCAUAUACAUGAAAGUCGUGUUGAUAAUCAAAGGUUGCUUCAUCUUAACUAAUAACAUGUAAAUGUCAUUUGAAUGGUUAAAAAGGAAUUCACCAGUGUAACACAAAAUGAAUGGAUUGCUUGGUUAUGUGUCAACUGUUGUACUUUUUUUGAGUUGCUUGAAAAUAAUUAAAAUUUGUUUUCAUCUAGAUCUUGGUUUUUUCCUAUGAUCAAAUCUCGAUUUAUUUCUGUGCAGAACUUUCUUGUGGACAUAAAAGGACCAGCUAUAGCAUUUUUACCGGUGCUUGCAUUUGAAGGAGGAACUAGAAGAAAUAUACCUAGGUUUGAGGUGUGUAUAAAUUAUUUUUGAUGUAUUUCGUGAUGUAGAUGUAAAAUAAUGCAAUACUUUGUUUUUAGUUUCAAUGUUACUCUUUAUCUGCAGGUUGGAAACAUAUCUUGAUGAAAUAUAGAAACAUUUUUAUUCAUAAUAUAUAUAUAAGGAUUACACAUUCAUAAUUAUUUCUUUCUGUCGUAGCAUUGUCUACCUCAAAUCACUGCAACUUUCUGUUGUUGGUAUAAAAAUACAAUAUUUUAAUCCCAGUUUUGAUAGCCUCUAUUCUUCAGUGGUUGAGAUAUUUUUUAUAAGAAUUUAGAAGUUCUGAGAUAUUUAUGAUAAGAAUUUCAAGUUCUUUGUUACUAGCAGUUUAAUGGUUAUAUCAUUUUUGUUCUCUGGAAAAUAUCUUAUACAAAAUCGGUACUUAGAUUUGGUAUUUAUAUUGUUCAUAUGUAGAAAUCUAAUACUAGCAAAUUUUGUCUAAUUUAAAAGCAAUUACAUUCUACUCUUUGGAAUAUGUUCUGGCCUGCUUUUAUGAAUUAUUUGAAAAUUUGUAAUUAUAAAAUUUAGUCUUUGAAAUUAUAAAUUUAAUAGAGAAGCAUCCAUACUAAACUUUUAUAUUAUAAAUUGUCAGUUUUAUAUUGAAAACAUAUCCCCUUUAGUAUAAGACUUAAAGGAGAUGUCUUUUGGUAUAAAAACUGAAAUAAAAAAUAUUUUAACUAUAUGGGUCAAAUGGAUGAUUAAACUUAUAAAAUGUACAAUUAAACUUAUAAAUUAUAAUAAACGAUACUUUAAUUUUAAACUAUAUUGAACUUUUAUUAAUGUUCUCGCUUUUCUUUAAAAGCUAUUGAACUCUAUCUAACAAUAACUUAAAAAUGAGAAAUUCAUGAUAAAAUUUCAACACUUGUAAUCUAGAAGUAUUACGAUAAGCCAGAAGAGGAAGAGACUAGUUGACUGGGUAGCUUUCGGCGUUCCUCUUCCUAUCUUCCCCUGUUUCUCCUGAAGAGUGUGCAACAUUGCUUCCACUGAAUUCUUCAAUGUCAUUUUCUGAUGCAGAAUAGUCAACAGCACCACCAUAUUUAUCAUCUUUCUUUUUCGUAUAAAGAGGGCAUAUGCCGCAUUCUUUUAUUCUGAUACCUGAUUUCAACUCUCUCUCAACUGAUUCGUAAUCUGGCCGAUUUGGCCGCAGAAAGGGAUCAUACGGACUGAUCUCAAAAGUGAAGCUGCGAGCAUCACACAGCCUAAGGCUCAUGCCGCUCGCCAUUAGGGACUCCAAGUUAAAUUUCCACACGAAUGUCCCUUCACCAUCCCAUUUGAAAUAGCUAUUUAACACACCCUUAUAUGGAAUGAUCUGUGUGCCAUCAUCAUAUUCAAAUUUUAGGCUGUAACGAAAAGAACCAUAUCCACCUUUAAUAUCUAACACUCCAAAAGCUACACACAAAGCGAAACCAGUGAGCCUAUCAUCGCUGCAGAAACUUAAAUCUUCAUUUAUAGUCACUGAAUGUCCCUUCCCACGAAAAUUGAACCAACCAGGAACUGCACUCCCUGGAAAACAGAACAACACACACCUAUAUGUAUCGUCGAUCAUCCUAAGCCUUGCAUCCUCCUCGAUGUUAGCACGAGCACCUGAAUCCAGUUGUUGAGCAUUGGUGAAAUGAUAUUUGAAGACACCCUCUUUGGAAUUUGACAAGUUUGGAACAAGAGAAUUUGACAUCACUCUUCUAAUGGAUGGGCAAUCCAAUGCCUCGAGUUGUUCUAGAAAUGGUGGAAUCGGUGGAAUGCAUUCAAGCUUUUUGCAGUCGCUUAAAUCAAGUGAUUUCAGGCUUGAAAGAUGAGCAAUGCUCUCAGGAAGGUUCACGAUUCCGCUAUCACGCAGUGACAGUUCCAUUAAUGACGUCAAGCGACCGAUGUGUCUUGGGAUUUCUGUUAAUUUGGCACACCCCGAACAAUCAAGUUUAGAGAGAAGCUUCAUAUUAACAAUGGAGUUUGGAAGUGACUCGAGAUAAGUGCACUCUUGGAGUUCCAGGGAUCGAAGAUUAACCAAAUUGCCAAAUGAGGAAGGCAGUUCUUUAACAGCCGUACAUGUCAAGUCAAUAUGAGCAAAAGUAUGAGCCGGCUUCAUGAUCUCUGGGAAGGUCCUCAGCCUUGAGCAACCACCCAAAUCAAGCUUCCUCAAUUUCAAAUUGAAAAUGGUGCUUGGAAAAGUUUGAAGUGAAUUACAGUAGGUAAGGUGUAACUUGCAUAGUCUGGUGAGGCUUCCAAUGGAAGAUGGAAUAAUCUCAAGAUUCAAGCAACUGUGCGAACUCAGUUGUUGAAGCCCUACCAAACGGCACAAGGAUGAAAACUUAUUUUAUUUUUGCUGUUCAUGCAUAACAUUAACAAAUAUUGACAUGAGAGAUUGUGUUUGUAGGCUUCUAAGCUCACCAACGUGUCCCGUUCUUGAUGCUUUAGGGAAGAAAAUUUCCUUUGAGAUUGCAAAAGGACUCAGGAGAAUUUAGAAGUUCUGAGAUAUUUAUGAUAAGAAUUCAAGUUCUUUGUUACUAGCAGUUUAAUGGUUAUAUCAUUUUUGUUCUCUGGAAAAUAUCUGAUACAAAAUUGGUACUUAGAUUUGGUAUUUAUAUUGUUCAUAUGUAGAAAUCUAAUACUAUAGCAAAUUUUAUCUAAUUUAGAAGCAAUUAUAUUCUACUCUUUGGAAUAUGUUCUGGCCUGCUUUUAUGAUUGUAAUUAUAAAUUUAAUAGAGGAGAUUACCAAACAUCCAUACUAAUUAAACUUUUAUAUUAUAAAUUUUUUCAGUUUUAUAUUGAAAACAUAUCCCUUUAGUAUAAGACUUAAAGGAGAUGUCUUUUGGUAUAAAAACUGAAAUAAAAAAUCUUUUAACUAUAUGGGUCAAAUGGAUGAUUAAACUUAUAAAUGUACAAUUAAACUUAUAAAUUGUAAUAAACGAUACUUUAAUUUUAAACUCUAUUGAACUUUUUUUAAUGUUCUCGCUUUUCUUUUAAAUGCAUUUCACUUGUGUGUUUUGUAUUCAGGCUGAUUUUAACUUUAUUCUCAAAUAUACAAAAUAAUUUUUGGUAAUUAUCUUGUGUCGAUCUUGACUUGUAGUAUCAAUGUGAAAUAUGUAAUAAUUACUUUUCUAUGAUUCAGAGGGAAAAUUAUUCCAACUAGACUUUUACAAAUAUAUUUCAAGUGGUAAUAUGAUUUUAAAAAAAAUAGGAUUCGCCACAAAAAAAAGUUACUGUUCCUAAUUGACAUGGUGCUGUCAAAAUUAUUUAAUUACAAUUUAGAUCUUCACUCUACAUAUAAUUAAUUAAUUACCAAUUAUUUAAAAGACUAGUAAAUUAUAAUUUUAAUCUCUCUACAACUUUCUAAAUUUAGUUAUGAUUCUCUCAAAAAAAUUUCCCUUAAAUAUUAAUUAUAAUUACCUUUAGACAGAAACAUUUCUAAUUUAAACAAGCAAAAAUAAGAAAAAAAAAUAGAUUACAAAAACUAAAUUUGAAUUUUUUUAUAUAACUCCAAAUAUAUUUUAUCCAUAAAUAAAUUCUAUUAAUAUUUCAUUUCUGUUUAAAUAGUUUAUUCAUAUUUGUAAUAUUAUUUUCAAAAAACAAUAAUUGUUUUUUGAAUAAAGGUUUACAAAUUCUAUAAUAAUGUAAAUGAGAAGAGGAGUGAGGGUAAAAAUAUGAGAACCUAUGUGAGGGAAUCUUGUGACAAUUUAGCUGGUGUUCAACUUGUGAGAAGUCUUUCAACUUGGUUUUCAAGUUUUAUAUUCAAUUUCUGUUCCUUCAAAUGUUUCUGAUUUUACAGCUCCUCAGGAUUUUACAGCUCCAUGCACAAACCUAAUACAAUGAUAUGAUAUUCAAUCAGCAUUAAUUAGCAUAAACAGGUACCUUGUUGUAAAACUGGGAAUAUGAGAUUCCAUAGGAUGGAGAAAAGUAUGAAGAGGAAUUACCAAUCACCAUUUACCAAUCAUAAUGCCUUCACUACAAAUGCAACCCAAAUAUGCUAAAGAAGUUAAUGAAACUAUAUAUGAAGAGUUUCAAGAAGAUGCAACUCUGGGACAACAGAGCAACCCAUCUCAUGCUGAACACAAACAUCAAACUACAUCUAACAAUAAUUCAGAAAUCUUAAUCAACAAUUGAGCGAACCCACUCCUAAAAUGCCAUUGAGAAUGUAAAUAAAUCAAAAUACAUUAAAAACGAGAAAUUCUUAAUAAAAAUUCAACGUGUUGAACCUUGUAAUUUAGAAGUAUUAACGAGAAGCCAGUUUAGAUCCUCACCAAUGAAAGACUAUUUUACAGGUUAGCUUCCACUGGAUUCUUCAAUGUGAACAGCACCACCAUAUUUAUCAUCUUUCUUUUUGGAAUAAAGAGGGCAUAUGCCGCAUUCUUUUAUUGUCACAACUGACCACCCAAAGUCAUAAAGAGGACUGAUCUCAAAAGUGAAGCUGCGAGCAUCACACAGCCUAGGGCUUAGGGAUUCUAAGUUAAAUUUCCAGACGAAUGUGUGAUCUUUAUCAACAAAACUGUAUUCACCAUUCCAUUUGAAAUGUCUGUUUAACCUAUCAUUAUUUGGAAUGAUAUGUGUGCCAUCAUCAUCAGAUUCAAAUUUUAGGCUGUAACCAAAAGAACCAUAUCUACCUUUAACAGAAUUCGUAUCUAACACUCCAAAAACCACACACAAAGCGAAACCAGUGAGCCUAUCAUCGCUGCAGAAACUUAAAUCUUCAUUUAUAGUCACUGAAUGUCCCUUCCCACGAAAAUGGAACCAACCAGGAACUGUACUCCCUGGAAAACAGAAGAACACAGACCUAUAUCUAUCAUCGGUCAUCCUAAGCCUUGCAUCCUCCUCAAUGUUAGCACGACCACCUGAAUCCAGUUGUUGAGCAUUGGUGAAACGAAAUUUGAAGACACCCUCUUUGGAAUUUGACAAGUUUUGAACAAGAGAAUUUGGCAUCACUCUUCUAAUGGAUGGGCAAUCCAAUGCCACGAGUUGUUUUAGAAAUGGUGGAAUCUGUGGGAUGCAUUCAAGCUUUUUGCAGUCGCUUAAAUCAAGCGAUUUCAAGCUUGAAAGAUGAGCAAUGCUCUCAGGAAGGUUCACGAUUCCGCUAUCACGCAGUGACAGUUUCACUAAUGACGUCAAGCGACCGAUGUGUCUUGGGAUUUUUGUUAAUUUGGCACACCCCGAACAAUCAAGUUUAGAGAGUAGCUUCAGACUAACAAUGGAGUUUGGAAGUGACUCGAGAUCAGUGCAUUUGCGGAGCUCCAGGGAUCGAAGAUUAACGAAAUUGGCAAAUGAGGAAGGCAGUACUUUAACAGCCGUAUAUGAUAAGUCAAUGCGAGCAAAAGUAGGAGCCCGCUCCGUGAUAUCUGGGAAGGUACUCAGGCUUGAGCAACCACACAAAUCAAGCUUGCUCAAUUUCAAAUUGAAAAUGCUGCUUGGAAAAGUCUGAAGUGAAUUACAGCGGGUGAGGUGUAACUUGCAUAGUCUGGUGAGGCUUCCAAUGGAAGAUGGAAUAAUCUGAAGAUUGAAGCAACUGCGCAAACUCAGUUCUUCAAGCCCUAUCAAACGGCACAAGGAUGAAGGUAGUGCCUGUAUGGCUGUGGCGUCUAAGAUGAGCACCGCUAGAUCUUCCAACGUGUCCUGAAUCUCGGGUAAAUUUUCCAAUUUUGAGCAACCACGGAGAGAAAGUUGAUUUAUGAAUUUCAUAUCAGAAAGGUCAAUUGGAAAGAUUGUAAGAGAAGAACAGUGAGAGAGAUCUAUGUGAGAGAGCUUCUUGCCACUAAAUUGUAAGGGCACACCUUCGUAGUCUUCUGAGUAUUCUGAGUCUGUAGCAUUAUUAGCAUUUAUCUCUUUCAUCAUAUCCGGUUCCUGACGCUCCAGUAUGACAUGAGGGAGAAAUUUAUCUUCAUGUUCACCCAAUGAAAACAUAUUAAGCUUCUCACAACCGGAAACACUAAUCCAUCCUGGUGAUGUGGAUAAAAUGUUGCUGGGAAUAUUUACACUUUUGAGAUUAGAACAAUGAUCUAAACAUAAACAACUGAGCUUGGUGAGGAAUAUCGAAGAGUGAACUUCAAUCAACUUUGAACAAUAACUCAGCUUUAUUUCUUCAAUAUUCGGUGACAGAGAAAGGUCUGGUAUUCUAGUAAGUUCCCAAGAUUUAACCAGGUCGAGCCUUUUCAAGUUGGGUAAAUUCUGCCAGAAAUAGUAAAUGAAUGAGGUAACAAAUAAAAACUACUUUAUCUAUUUUUCUUCCUAUUUAAACUAUUAGCUACUAUCUAUUGAGUUUAUAUUUUACAUUACUUAAAAACCACUGUUAAAAAAACCACACUGUGGACUAACAAAACUCUGCCUAUAAAUUUUAUAGUUAUUAUAAAAAAUCACAAAAUUUAACGUCUUUUUGUUCCCUACCUAAAAUUACAUCCUAAUCAUUUGAACCUAAACUUAUUAUGUAUUCAAAAACUUAUGAUAGUAAUUUAUAAUCGAUCACAAUGUCAAAAUACUUUAUAUUAUACAUGUAUCAACUCACAAAAUAAAUGGUGUUGUCUCAGAUUUAAAAUUAAACCUUAGUUAAAAAGUCCAUCUUUCCAUAAUUUAUUUUAUUAAAUACAUAAUUUGUAAUUUAUUGUAUAUUAUAUUCAAGUUUAUGUUAUGAUAAAAAAAGUAUCUAAGGCAUUUUUAAUUAAAUAAUAUAAAAUAAACAACAUGAACUCAAUUAAAUAAUAUAAAUUUUUUUGAAUACUCGAUGGAAUAAAAAAAUUAAUAAAACCCUCAAUUUGAAAAUAACCAAAUUUAUAAGAUACUUAAAACUUAAUUAAACCUACAAAUUUUCAUUAUAUGGAAUUAAAUAUUGUAAAGAUUUACCACAUAAGUUUCAUAAGUAGAAGGUUUAAACAUAAAAUUCUUCACGUUGGGAGUUUCUUUCCUCUAUCUUAUAAGUUUUCGUUGUUUCUUUAAUAUUUUUUAUAUGGCUUCUGUCAAUGUAAUUUUUUUUUUGGUUUUAAAAUAUUAUUAAAGAUAAAAUAUGAAGACAGGGUAAUUAAAUUAAAUAUAAUUUUUAUUUUUCAGAAAUGAUGAAAAUUAUAAUUAAAUUAACUAAAUUAUAUAAAAUUCCAUUUUAUUUACAUAACUCAUUUUCAUAUUAAAAAACUAUAUAAGAUCUUCCAAAGUAGAUAUAAUACAUUCACGGGCCAUUAGAUGAUAUGCCUAAAAAAAUAUGCAAACUAUUAAAUUUAUAAUUAUCUUUAAUUAGAAACAUGCUGAGUAUGACUCAAAUAAAAGAAAUUUCAAAUCGAAUAAUGUCGAGAAGGCACAAAGGAAUUGCAAAUGAAAACUUGUAUAUGUAUAAUACAGAAAACAUGCUUGUAUAAUUUAUUUUUAUCUUUGAAAGUUUAGAACACAAAGGAACAUAGAUAGCUUGAAAAACCUGAUCUCCUUCCCAGAGUUGUUCAAGAUGGCAGAAUGGCAUUUCGAGGGUCACUAGAUUUUGUGGGCAAAAGUUUGGAGGCCAAAAUCUUUGAGGGAAAUGUGUCCAAUAAAGAAUCUUUAGAGUGUCUGGCAUAUCCACAAGAGGUGAUUCAAAAGACACUUUUAAUUCCAAUCCCCACGUGUAGAGCCUAAGCACCCUAAGAUUGUUCAUCUUUUCGAAACUUUGUGCAUGUACUACAACUUCUUUUACUUUGAAAGUAGAUAGUGAUAUACACUCUAUUGAAGUAGAUAGUGAUAUACACUCUAUUGCAUCUGACCCCUGAAAGUAAAUCAUGAAAUGUUGCAUUGCAGGAUGUUUGAUGACAGCUCAGUGGUUUGCAAUUUUUCACAAAGUAAAUCCAUUCUCAAUUGAGUAACGACAUAAUACCUUGUUCUUUCUUAAAACCUCUCAAAUUUCCUCAGCAUUAAACAAUCGGCUGCGUUUUCCAGGAUGCUGAGGACACUCUUUACGAACAAUUUCUUUACCCAUUUCUUGUAUUAGAUCGUGCAUCACAAUUCUACCAUGAAAGACAGAUAUUAGGCCCCUAUCUUUGAGAAUAUCCAUUCCAAUCUUGGAAGAGAAACCACAGUCAGCAAGUAUUUCUGCUACCACAAUCUCUUGUGACCUAUAUAAAAGCAAGCUAUGUCAAGAAAUAUAUUCUUCUCCUCCUCCUCGAGCCCAUCAUAACUUAAUUUUAAUACAUUGAAAAUACCAAGAUGUUGGCCCUUUUCCAACUUUUGCAACUGACUCUCCCAUGCUUCUCUUGUUCUUCCAUAAAGCAAUGACCCCAAAAUCUGGAGAGCUAAUGGAAUCCCUUUUGCAUAUCUCAACACCUUUUCUGACAGUUCCCUGUAAGCAAUUUCUUCUGAAGAUUUUUGUUUAAAAGCAAGUAAACUAAAAAGUUUCUGAGAAUCAUCAAAAUUCAACUCCUUAACUUCGUAGAUAUCAUCAGCUCUAGCAUUCUUAAGCACUUGUUUGUCUCUACUGGUGAUAAUGAUUCUACUGCCCUGCCCAAAACUAUCACUCCCUCUUAUUAAUUUUUGAAGUUGAGCUGAAUCGGUAACAUCAGUUAGAAGUGGAACACGUUUGUAGAAGUGGAACACGUUAGUUGGUUAGUUGCCUUAAGAAGCGGAUCAUGUAUUUUUUCUUGAACGUCUAAAACAAGGCUGCUGGAAUCAAACUGCAAUUCCAAUUUGUGAUAUAUUUGAUCACAAAUUGUAGUUUUUCCUAUUCCUCCCAUGCCACAAAUGCCUAUGAUCCGAACAUCCGGUAAGUCAAGAUGCAACAAGGACUGAAUUCCUUCAAUAUUUUUUUCAAUGCCGAUGAUUCCUUGAUCAUAACUGAUGGAAUAACGAUUCAAUUUUCUCAAAAUAUCUCCCACAAUUCCUUCAACAAGUGUGUGUUCUGACCUGGCAGAUGAUUUAGAAAAUAAAGUAUAAGUAUUCAUGCACAAAAGCUAAAACAAAACUAAAGAAAAAUUCAGAGUCAAGAAGAGUGAACAUCAUUGAAUAGAUUCACAUAUUGAUUGUAGGACGUUAUCUUCGAAUAUUAGUGUGGUUGGUUUAGAAAUUGCAAAUCAAGAUCGCAGAAAUUCUACAGUAACCGGUAGUGACUUCUGAUACUAGGAAGCAGUCUUGUAGGUACAAAGUUAAGCUAUAAGAUGUGAUAUGGUUCAGAUCUAUGACCCACUACGAAAAAUGGAAAAAAGAAACACUUGAUUUAUGGUGAGAUGAACACAAUUUUAGUAAAUGAAAAGAGAUCCUGAUUAUCUAAUAAAUAUAAUGACCUGGUGACUUUUGAAUCCCAGCCUGAAAGUCCAGCAGCUUCGGUGAGAGCAUCCUUCCAUCCUUGCACUUUGUCGUGCUUAAAGUGCUGCUCAUGCUCAUCGAAUGCUUCUUUGUAUCUUUCUUCCUGCUUCCUAAUAGUUGACGGAUCCACCUUGUAGAAAACAGGUAUGACAUCCCUUCCAUAUCUCUUCUUGCAAUCAAGUAUCUUAGUGAGUUCAUUCAAGCACCAAGUGGAAGAUGCAUAGUUUUGGGAGAAAACGACGAUAUAAAUCUUCGAUUCUUCUAUUGCAGAGAGCAGUGCAGAUGAAAUUUCUUCGCCCCGGGGUAGUGUCUCAUCAAUAUAUGCUUCUAUGUUCUUCCUUUGCAGUGCUGGAUGAAGGUGGCUAAUGAAGUUGUCACGUGUGUCUUCCCCUCUGAAGCUGAGAAACACAUCAUGCUUUGUUAGAGAAGUGGACACGGGGAAUGAUGAAGAACUUCCUGUUUAAUUUCUUCGCCCCUGUUUAAUCUGUAAUCAAUAUAUGCUUCAAUGUUCUUCCUCUGCAGCGCUGCAUAAAGGUGACUAAUGAAGUUGUCACGUGUGUCUUCCCCUCUGAAGCUGAGAAACACAUCAUGCUUGGUUAGAGAAGCAGACAUGGCCAAUGAUGAAGGGUUUCAAUUUUCUCUGCAACUCUCAGAUCCCUUUGUUUGUAAGCAACUUGCAUAUAUUCUAUUUCUAUCACAAAUCAACUUUUGGAAAAGCCUUCAAUUCAAAAUAUGCUUCACAGCUUUAUAUUAACGUGCCUAGCUUUAUACCAUUCUUACGCAUUGGUAAAGAUUCUUCAAUAUCUUUACUCAAUUUGUUUCUUCAAUACCUUUUACACAUUCUUACGCAUUGGUAAAGAUUCUUCAAUAUCUUUACUCAAUUUGUUUCUUCAAUACCUUUUACAUAUAAAGAAUCGGAUUUGUUUAAUAUAUUUUAGAAAAUAACCAGUAAACAGAAAACUAGGUUAAUAUGACUAAAUGAAUAAAGAUAGUACUCAUAAAAAAUAUUUUAGAUUACAAGUGGUAUAACUAAAAUAAAAUAUUUUAUUUUUAAAAUAAAAUUUAUAAAUAAAUAAAAAAAUAUAAUUGUUUAGUUUUCGGUGUAAAACAAUAUUCAUUUUUAUAAAAAAAAAUCUUUUCUCUUUUAUUUUAUUUUUAUAUUUCUAAUUAGAGUAUUCUUGAGUUUGACAAUAGAAUCCUUUCUUUGGACUUUUGGAAUUAAAUAAAGAUGUUAAUUGAAAAAAAAAAUUGAAAUAGAAACUAAUUUAGAAACCAAAUUUCUUUUUAGUUUCUAAAAUGGUCUCUAAUUUAGUUACUAUUGCAACUAAUUGUUUUGGUUUCUAGAAAUUGGUUUCUAUUUCAUGAUUUUCUUGUAGUGUAUACUGAAGGUGUGCACCCCUAUGAAAUGUUUUUAUUUCUAGUUGAUGUGUGAUUUCCAAUAAUUAUAUAAAUUGAUUGUUAUAUGCAGUGUGAAGUUUAACCUUGAUUUUUACUUGAAAAAAUGGAUUUUAAUAUGAGGUAUGCAUGCUCUCAUACUCAAAUUCAAUAAGCGGAAUUUUCACAUGUCAAUAGAAUUUGAACCUGCAUAGUUUUGGGCACUCUCCACCUCAAAUUCGCUCAAUGUUUUUUCCUGCGUUUAAGCGAAAUUACAUGCAGAUUUUGGAGUACUUUCGGGCUUAAAAUUGCUCAAAGAAAUUUCCCUAUGGCAAGCAAAUUUAAGCUACAAUUGUUUGGGUGUUCUUUGCCUCAAAUUCGUUGCCUCAAAUUCGUUCAGCGAAGAUUUCUCUGGGCUUAAGCCCCAACUUCAUGGGCUCGAGCCAUUUUGACAACAUUUGUCAUCUUUGCUUAGAUAUCUUUUGGUUUGUUUUCUAUAGGUCAUGAAAUUGAAUUAAAUCUUUUGAAAUUUAACAUGUGUUUAAAAUAAGUAAAUCUAACAUUUAUAAUCAUGCAACAUGUGUUUAAUUUAUAAAAAAAAUAUAAAACAAAUACUCAUUAUAUAUUCAAUUGAUAUGUAAAAUUUUAAAUAUUAUGUGAUUAUUGUUGAUAUUUUGUAACGGUUUUAAAAAUAUAAACUUCUAUAUGAUUGAAUGAUAUAUUAUCGAUACAUAGUAAUUUCAAGUAAGGAAAUACUUUGUUAAGGAUAGUUAGGAUGUGUCUUGAUUAGUAAUACAUUUAGAAUAAGAUAUUUGACUCUAUUCACAUAUUAAGGUGGUGACAGUCAAAUGAGAUUUAUAUGAUUUGAUCUACAAUAUAAAAAAUCAUAAUCUAACAUGCCAUAUGAAUUAACCUUGUCAUAUUAGGUGAUUCUAUUAUGAUAUUCUUAUUCGCAUAGAUGUGUGAAUUUCACAAUGGGGUAUUAUAACAUGUGCAAAUUUUUUAGUCUAAAUCAAUGUACGAUUCUUUCAGAAAUAGGGUCAAGUGUACAUGUGGAUCUAAUUAGAUUUUUGACAUGAGUAAUAUGGAACACAAGUCAUUUAGAGACACUUAAUUGUUUAAUAUAUUAGGAAUGAAUGAAGUGUGAUUAUUCAUAUGAUUAUGAUUGAAUGAUUCAAAUAUAAAUUUUAAAAAUCAUUAACUUAGCCUAAUUUCUUGUUAGUAUCAUUUUUUUGUUAGUAUCGUUUUUUUUUUAGAUUUGUUAUGAUCGUGAGUUACAUGUGAACAUAUGAUGUUGUAUGUUAUAGGCCUCAAAAUUGAAAAUGAGAGAGUUUUUUCUUUUAAUUCUUUUGAUGUUUUAUUUUGAUGUAUAUAUUUGAUUAUGAUAUAAUAAUAUUACAAUGUAAAUGUUAUUUAUAUACUAUCACAUGGUAAAUUAAAAUUUAAUAAGGUAGUUAAGGAUGUUAUAAUUAUUCUUUUAAUUUAUUUUAUUUCACUGUAUAUUUAGGUGUAUUACGUAAAAUGUAUAGUUAAAAAAAAUAAUGUUAUUUUGAAAUUUAAGCUUUUGUUAAAAUUAUACCAUUUGAAAAGGAACACAGAACAAUCUUGACAAUUAUACUGACUUAGUACUUAUUUUAAUUUAUUAUAUUCAUGAGUAUUAUUUUUUUCUUAAACAUAAAUAUUGGAUAAAAAAUAUAAAUAACAUUUAUUUAUUUCAAAUUUAAAAAUCUUUAAAAUAAAUAUAAAUAAUAUUUUUAAUCAAGAUGUGUUUUUUAACAAUUUUUUUUAAUUUAAAAAUAAUUAAUUCGGACGAUGAUUAAAGAAAUAUUAACAAAUUAUUUCUGCGAUUAUAAUAAACCUUCAAUAAUUUUUGCACUUUCUAGCAUAUAGAAUAUGGAUCCUUUUGUGAUUUUUCUUUUCUAAAGUACAAUUGAUAUUUUAAAUGUUUUUCUAUUUAAUUUUCCUUUCUUAAUGCACAUAAAAAUUUCAGUGCACAAUUAUUACUCACCUUAAUUCAAAAUGGAAAUUAAAAUUCAAGAACCCUACUUAUAUAUUAAUAUUCAACGAUUUAAAAUAUUAGUAUGCAAAUUAAUCUUUCUUAAUAAUAUUUGUAACAAUUUUUAAUAAUUCAAUGUGAAAUAUGUAAUAAUUACUUUUCUAUGAUUCAGAGGGAAAAUUAUUCCAACUAGACUUUUACAAAUAUAUUUCAAGUGGUAAUAUGAUUUUAAACAAAAAUAGUAUUCUCCACAAAAAUAAAUAGUUACUGUUCCUAAUUAAACAAGUCACAUUCUUGAACAAAAUAUCAAAUAACAAGGAAUUAGACUAUGAAAUGAUGACCAAUUAUAUUAAACAACAUAACAUACAUUUCUCAAUGUACACAAGGUAUAAAUAAUACAAUAUCAUCCAAAACCUGUGUUCACUAUGUAAAUAAACCAUUUUUUUUGCCAUUACCUCUUUCAUGAUGAUGAUUUGUUUACUAGGGAUUGCAAUGAUAGGUCAUGAUCAAAACUUAGGCCUAAGACUAAAAAUAGAAUGAAAUGAGCAUGAAAAUAAAGAUAACUUUUGAGUGAGACACAUUCUUCCUUACAAGCAGCAAGUUCUUCCAGGUUAUCUUCUCUUCCUUCAACCGUAGCUGUGCAACCGCCUGUUGUUCAUUGCCACCAAUAUCUCUAGUGCCAAAACUAUGUUUUCCAAAAUUAGAGUUAUAUGGCUUUAUCUGUGAAGUCUUACCAGCCAUAAUGUUUUAUUUUACUGUUUUGUUGUAAUCAUGCCAAUAGAUAAAUCGUGGAUUUGUAAACCACGAAACACCAUUGAGUAUGCAAAUGGGUUGAAUGUGUUUUUGGAUAUUGCAUUUCAACAUGCUAAUGGUCCUGUAAUUAAGUGUCCAUGUGCAAAGUGUGGUUUCAAAAAGUGACAAACAAGGGAUGUAAUCCAAGAACACUUAACAUUUACAACUUUCCCUCAGAACUACAAAACUUGGUAUUUGCACGGUGAAAGACCAAGUGUAAUUGAGCCUAUGGUCACUACAAGUGUGCAUGUCAUUGAAGAUUUAUUUGAAUCUCAAAAUACAAUGGAAGACAUGUUGAAUGAUGCAUUCGAGUUUGCGGGACAUGAUGAGGAUACUGAAGUUGAUGGUUUGCAAACUAAUAUGGUGGGUGAUGAAGGAAUAUGAACUUUGAUGAAUUGAUGAGGGACAAUAAUGAACCCUUAUAUGAAGGUUGUACAAAGCAUUCGAAGUUAUCAUUCAUGUUGAAGUUGUACCAUAUCAAAUGCAUGAGUAGAAUGAGUGACAAAGCAAUGACCAUGAUUCUAGACUUGCUAAUGAACACAUUUGAACAUGCUAAGUUUCCUAACUUGUUUUAUGAGGCGAAGACUGUGAUUACCAAACUUGGACUUAAUUAUGUCAAAAUACCAGCUUGCCCAAAAGACUGAAUGCUAUAUUGGGGCGAAGACAAUGAAGGCUUAGAAGAAUGUAAACGGUUCAAAACGUCUAAGUGCAAAAAAAAAAAAAGAUAAGAAGCAAUUGCAUUACUUUCCAUUAAAACUGUGAUUGCAAAGAUUGUUUAUGAGUUCUAAGAUGAUUGAGUCUAUGACAAGGCAUGCAUCAAAGGAUAAUCAAGAUGGAUUGAUGAGGCAUCCUAGAGAUUCUGAGGCUUGCAAAUCAUUUUAUUGCAUCCAGAAUUUGUAAAUGACCAUUGAAAUGUACGAUUAGACUUAGCUGCUUAUGGCUUUAAUCCUUAUGAAAACAUGAGUAAAAACCAUAGUAUAUGACGAGUGGUUAUCAUCCCAACAAUCACCCUCCUUGGGAGUUAUGAAGCAAACAUCUUUUAUCCUCUACAUGAUAAUUUCUGGAAAACAAAUGGUAGAAAAUGACAUUGAUGUUUAUUUAAAACCACUUAUAAGCAAAUUGAAGGAGUUAAUAGUAUGAUCAUGUAAUUAUUAUUUAUAUACUAAAUAUUACGACAUAUAGUAAUUUAAAAUUUGAUAAGGUAGAUGAGGAUAUUAAAAUAUCUCUUUUAAUUUAUUUUAUUUUAUUGUAUAUUUAGGUGUAUUAUGUAAAAUAUAUAAUUAAAAAAAAUAAUGUUAUUUUAAAAUUUAAAGAAUCACGUAUAGAAAGAAACAUAUAACAAUCUUGACAAUUAUAUUCUGACUUAGAGAUACUUAUCUUAAUUUAUUAUAUUCAUGAGUAUUAUUUUUUUCUUAAACAUAGAUAUUGGAUAAAAAAUAUUAAUAAUAUUUAUUAUUUAAAUUUUAGAAAUAUUUAAAAUUAAAAUUAAAAUUAAAUAAUAUUUUUAAUUAAAAUAUGAAAAAAAUUCCUUAACAAUUUUUUUAAUUUCAAAAUAAUUAAUUCAGAGGAUGAUUGAAAAAAUAUUAACAAAUCAUUUCUGCGUUUAUAAUAAACCUUCAAUAAUAUUUGUACUUUCUAUCAUAUAGAAUACUUAAUGGAUCCUUUUGUGAUUUUUCUUUUCUAAAGUACAGUUGAUAUUUUAAAUGUUUUUCUAUUUAAUUUUCAUUUCUCAAUGACAAAUAAAAUGGUUCAGUGCACAAUUAAUUAUUCUCACCUUAGAUUUCAUUCAUCUCAUUCCAUUUCCACACUCAAAUCAUUCUCACAUUUUUUUCUACCUAUUUCACAAAGUUUUUGUUAAAAUAUGGAAAUUAAAGUUCAAGAACCCUACUUAUAUUUCAUAUUCAACAAUUUAAAAUAUUAAUAUGCAAAUUAAUAUUUCUUAAUAAUGUUAUUUUUAUGUAAAAAUUAAAAUGUAGUUUAGUCAUUCAUACUUAGAUGGAUAAAAAUGGUUUUAGAAAGAAAAAAAUAUGCAUUUUUUUGAAAGGUUAUCUAAACUCUAAACUCAUUGAUGAAUUAAUAAUAAUAAAUAAUAUGGAAUUCUAUACGAAUAGCAUAUAAAUGUUUUCUUGUUGAAACUGAUAAUUAAUUCAGUCUAGGGACAAUUAUCGCGGUAUUUGUUCUUUUAUUUUUAAUGUUUAAACAAUUAUAAAAUUCUGUUUUUAGAUAUUAAAAUGAUAGUUUUCAUUUACAGAUUAAAAUAUUACUUGUUUCUUUUAAGAUUUUUUGUAUUAUAAUUAUUUGUUGUCUGAAUUGUUUUGAUUUAACAUGUUGUUUUCUUGGGCUAUGAUAUUGUGAGGUUUUAUUACAUGCAGGUACGUGAAUAUUUUUUUUAUCCUAGUUGUAUAAAUCAGGAAAAUUGUUUUUCACAUUAUAAUAACCGUUUAACAACUCUAAAUAAUAAUAAAAUAUUAACUCAUAUUGUUUAAUUAAAGUAUAAAUUAAAUUAUUAAAUAAAAAAGUAGUAAAACUGGUUGCAGGAUGGGAAUAUGAUUAUUUUUAACUGCUAGCUCCUGAUUAUUCUUUUCUAAUAAAAAAAACACCAAUAGCAACAAAACAAGUUUUGACACACGUAGGUUUGGCAAUUGUUUUAAUAGCUGAAAAUAGUACAACAAUUUUUAAUUACCACAAACUGCAUCUUAAAUCAUAAAAAAUUAGCAUUUUGUUAGUUCAUAUAUAAUAAAAUUUCCAUAAAACAGCCAAUUGUAUUAAUUAUUAAUAAUGUAUUUACAAUUUUUUUAGAUAAUUUUUUUACUAUAAAGACAUUUAUUUGAGAUUGAAAUUGUAAUUAACACUUUUUGGUCAAAGAAUAAUAUAUUUCACUUGAUUUUUUGUAUUAAAUAUUUUGUAUAGCGCUGAGACAAAAAAAAAUCUCAUAUAAAUCCCUAUGUGCUACAAGUACAAUAUAACAUCCUUAAUGUAAGCAAUAAAAAUGAUGAAUACUCAAAGUCGUGUAAUUACGCAAAAGAAUCAAGUGAUUUUUAAAAGAACUCACAUGAUCAGUUUAAAUUUUGACGAUAAAAUACAUUAAUUAUAUAUAUUUAUUCAAAAUUUCAAUUAUAUUAUGCAUUAAUGGUUUUAUGCUUUUAGAGGAAUCAGAGAAACUUAGAAAAGCUCCUAAAAACUAAUGUAACCCUAUGAAUAGAAGAGAGCUAAAAGAAAGAGAAAAUGGAAGUGAGAAAAGAUGAUAAUUAAUAAACACGCUCUCUUCAUAACAUAGAGUCUUUAAACCUAUAUUCCCUCAAACAAUUAUAAAGAAUUAACAAUCACACUUUUAUAAGUCAUCACCCACAUGAAACAAAACAAGGUGCCUCAAUAUGAAUAAACCAAGAUUAAUAAGAAAUAUGAGGUUUCACUAACCAAGCUCAGAAUUUUCUGCUUUUAUAGCUCCAUGCACAAACCUAAUACAAUGAUAUGAUAUUCACUGCAAAUGCAACCCAAAUAUGCUAAAGAAGUUAAUGAAACCCAAAUAUAAAGAAUUUGAAGAGAAUGCAACUCUGGGACAACAGAGCACACCAUCUCAUGCUGAACAGAAACAUCAAACUAUAUCUAACAAUAACUAUACCUAUGUUUGCUUUGGGUCUGUUUUUAGUUUCAAUGUUACUCUUUAUCUGCAGGUUGGGAACAUAUCUUGAUGAAAUAUAGAAACAUUUUUAUUCAUAAUAUAUAUAAGGAUUACACAUUCAUAAUUAUUUCUUUCUGUCGUAGCAUUGUCUACCUCAAAUCACUGCAACUUUCUGUUGUUGGUAUUUGCAUAUCACGAUGGUUAUUGAGAAAUUUAGGAGUUUGCUGUUGUGUACCAGAAGUAAAAUAGAAGGUUCAUUUUUUGGUCAUCAUCAAUUAUUAAUGUAAAUAGAUAUAGGUGAAGGAGAUCAGUAUUAUGCAUUGUAUCAUGGACCAUUAGAAGACUAGGGUCACCAAUUGGAGGCAUUGGUAACUUUGGCUAGUAAAACUAAAACCAAAGUCCAUUUUUACAAAGCCUUGGUCUAAUUCACCUUAUAGCUGUACUUUUUCCUCCAUUUUAAUAAUAUUAAGUUUUCAUUUUCUAUGCAUAAUCUUGGGUAAUUUUCUUUUUAUAUCAAUGCUUGAAGUGUCAAAUUGUUACAAGCUGGAUUAUUAAGAAAGAAAAGAGUGCAUUCUGGAUGCUCGAAAGGGAGUGUUUCCUAGAAAAAAAAUGUGAUUUCAGGGUGUCCAGGCUCAGGUAGCAAUGGUAGGAGUUCCACAUUGAAAUGGAUGAACUACUUGAUUUAGUACUUUGGGACUCUCUCACCUAAUGGACUAGUAUUUUGGGUUAGCUUCUCUCCCCUUAAUGCUUAAGUCCUAAAAAACAGUUUUUCUGUUUCUAUUUAUCUUUUAGGGUGUGAUUAGGACCAUGAAGCAGUGGGUGUUUUUUCCAUUAAUGAACUUUGCCACUGCCACAGAUCACCUAGGUUAACCUAAUUAAGUCUUCUGAAUUGUAUUUUGUAAUUAAUUCUUGUAAAACAUGGAGUGUAAAAUUCAUGUACAUUUUUCUUUUCCUCUUUUGAUUUGGAUGUCAAACUAGCAACUUCAUGUUUUGUCUGGUUGGUCUAUCACAUUUAUGUAGGUUGUAAUCUAUUUUGCCUAAUGCAUCAGUUGCAGAUAGGUACUAAAUUAUCUUAGUUCGGAUACACCUUGCCAAUUAGAUUAAGAUCAAGAAUUUAAAGUGAAUGGUUCACUUCUGAGUUCUUAAAUGAGAUAAAAUGUUCAGAGAUACUAAAUCAUCGCCUUCAUUUGAAAAUUGGCGUGCCUAUUAUGCUUUUGAGAAAUAUUGAUCAAACCAACGGUCUUUGUAAUGGAACAAGGUUGCAAGUUAUUGAUUUGAAGAAAAUGUUAUUUGUGCAAUAGUUCUAACAGGAACAAAUAUUGGUGAUAAAAUCUUCAUUUCAAGAAUGAAUUUGAUCCCUUUAGAUGUAGGUAUGCCAUUCAAAUUCCAGAGAAGACAAUUUCCAAUAGCUUUAUGUUUUGCAAUGACAAUUAAGAAAAGCCAAGGUCAAUUAUUGACCAAAGUUGGUUUAUAUUUUUCACAUCCAAUUUUCACACAUCGAUAGUUGUAUGUAGCUAUUUAUAGAGUUCGAAAGAAAAAAGAUUUAAAAAUUCUAACUCUUGAUGAAGAUGGAAUGCAACAAACAAGAAAAAGAAAAUGUUUACACUGAAAUUUUUGACAAUAUUUGAAAACAAUAGAAUUAUAUGAUAAACUUGGAAUGGCUAAUUCUCCCUGCAACCAAUAUUUUUGAACCUGCAACUUUUAAAUUUUUGAAAAUGCUCUUUAUUCCAGAAAUGAAAAUAAUACAUUACAAAAAAAAUAGAUCCAAAAAAGAUUAUUGUGUUUUGGUAAUAAAAAUCGGAAAACAAAAAUCAAAAGCCCAUUAUGAAUAAGAAAAUUCGUAAUACAAAAAAUUUGGUCUUAAAAACAAAAUCUGAAAACAUAUUCCAGAAAGAAAAUCCGAAAUGUAUUUUUAUAUAUAACCCAUUUUUUCAAGGGAGUUUCGUCUUUUCUAUUGUAAAAGGGGUUGGAAUUUGCUCCCUUGGAAUUAUAGUUUCUUAUGUGUGAUGUAGUAACAGUUGCCUUAUUUAAAAUGUUACUAAAUAACAUAUAAUUUAUAUCUGUUAUUUUUAUUCUGUUAUGACUUUAUAUAUUUGUCACAACAUGAAUGAGGCACAAACCCAUCUCAUGUUAACGAAGUUGAGAAUUUUCUGAUUUUACAGGUCCAUGCAAAAAUCUAAUAUAAUGAUAUGAUAUUCAAUAUCAAGAGGUACUUGUCGUAAAACGGGGAAUAUGAGAGACUCCAUAGAAUGAAGAAAAAGUAUAAAGAGGAUUUACAAAUUAACCUUUCAAAUGCAGCUCCUCAGAAUUUCAUAAUGCCUUCACUGCAAAUGCAACCCAAAUAUGCUAAAGAAGUUAAUCAAACAAUACAUGAGGAGUUUCAAGAAAAUGCAACUCUGGAACAACAGAGCAACCCAUCUCAUGCUGAACAGAAACAUCAAACUAUAUCUAACUUAGAAAUCUUUGUCAACAAUUGAACGAACCCACUCCUUAAAUACCAUUGAAAAUGUAAAUAAAACAAAAUAAAUUAAAAACGAGAAAUUCAUAAUAAAAAUUAAACGUGUUGAACCCUGUAAUUUAGAAGUAUUAACGAUAAGGCAGUUUAGAUCCUCACCAAUGAAAGAGACUAGCUGACUAGGUAGCUUUCGGCCUUCCUCUUCCUAUCUUCCCUUGUUUCUCUUGAAGACUCUGCAAUAUUGCUUCCAUUGGAUUGUUCAAAGUCAACAGCACCACCAUAUUUAUCAUCUUUCUUUUUCGUAUAAAGAGGGCAUAUGCCGCAUUCCUUUAUUGUGAUACCUGAUUUCAACCGAAAGUGAUAAUCACACGGACUGAUAAGUGAAGCUGCGAGCAUCACAGAUUCUAAGGCUCAUGCCGCUCGCCCUUAGGAACUCCAAGUUAAAUUUCCACACGAAUGUGUGAUCUUGAUCAACACAUCUCUCUUCACCAUUCGAAAUAGCUGUUUAACACAUCUAUCAUCGCUGCAGAAACUUAAAUCUUCAUUUAUAGUCACUGAAUGUCCCUUCCCACGAAAAUGGAACCAACCAGGAACUGCAGUCCCUGGAAAACAGAAGAACACAGACCUAUAUCUAUCGUCGGUCAUCCUAAGCCUUGCAUCCUCCUCAAUGUUAGCACGACCACCUGAAUCCAGUUGCUGAGCAUUGGUGAAAUGAAAUUUGAAUACACCCUCUUUGGAAUUUGAGAGGUUUCGAACAAGAGAAUUUGGCAUCACUCUUCUAAUGGAUGGGCAAUCCAAUGCCACGAGUUGCUUUAGAAAUGGUGGAAUCUGUGGGAUGCAUUCAAGCUUUUUGCAGUCGCUUAAAUCAAGCGAUUUCAAGCUUGAAAGAUGAGCAAUGCUCUCAGGAAGGUUCACGAUUCCGCUAUCACGCAGUGAUAGUUCCAUUAAUAACGUCAAACGACCAAUGUGUCUUGGGAUUUCUGUUAAUUUGGAGCACCCCGAACAAUUUAGAGAGAAGCUUCAGAUUAACAAUGGAGUUUGAAAGUGACUCGAUAUCAGUGUAUUUCUGAAGCUCCAAGGAUCGAAGAUUAACGAAAUUGCAAAAUGAGGAAGGCAACUGCGCAAACUCAGUUGUUGAAGCCCUACCAAACGGCACAAGGAUGAAGGUAGUGCCUGUAUGGCUGUGGCGUCUAAGAUGAGCACCGCUAGAUCUUCCAACGUGUCCUGAAUCUGGGGUAAAUUUUCCAAUUUUGAGCAACCACGGAGAGAAAGUUGCUUUAGGAAUUUCAUAUCAGAAAGGUCAAAUGGAAAGAUUGUAAGGGAAGAACAGUAAGAGAGAUCUAAAUGACAGAGCUUCUUGCAACUAAAGUGUAAGGGCACACCUUUCAUGAAUUUUGUCAACACUUCUAAGUAUAUAGUAUUAUUAGCCACUUCUUCUUCUUCAUUAUAUCUGUCAAAAGUAAUUGAGGAAGUUGGGAAAAUAUGACCACUGUAUGCACGAGGUUCACCACGCCGUCCUGCACCAUGCCGUUCUGAGAAAUUUAUCUCUUUGAUCAUAUCCGGUUUCUGGCGAUGGAAUCUUGAGAAAGUUUGACGUUGACGCUCCACGCUCCAGUAUCACAUGAGGGAAUCUUGAGAAAUUUCCACGUUGAUGCCCCAGUUUCUGAUGUGGGUAUCUUGUGACGCUCCAGUUUCACAUGACGAAAUCUGGGUUCACUGGUUGAAAACAUAUUAAGCUUCCCACAACAGGAAAUAUUAAUCCAUCCUUGUAAUGUGGAUAAAAUGUUGCUGGGAAUAUUUAUACUAUUCAGAUCAUAACAAUUAUCUAAACAUAAAUAACUGAGCUUGCUGAGUAAUAUCGAAGAGUGAACUUUAAUCAACUUUCCACAAUAACUCAGAAUUAUUUCUUCAAUAUUUGGUAAGAGAGAAAAGUCUGGUAUUCUAGUAAGUUUCCGAGAACCACUCAGGUCAAGCCUUUUCAAGUUUGGUAAAUUCUGCCACAAAUAGUAAAUGAAUCAGGUAACAAAUAAAAACCACUGUUAAAAAAAUCACACUCUGAACUAACAAAACUGUGGCUAUUCACUAUCAACAAUCCCUCUCAAAUACACUUCUACUAAUACAUUAACAACAAUAUCAUUAUAUUAACCAUAAAAUAUUACAUUUCUUCAGUUAAUACGUAGGACAAUAUAAUAAUCAGGUCACUCAGCUAAUGAAAAAAAUUAAACAACAUGAACUCAAUUAAAUAAUAUAAAACUUUUGAGUACUAGAUAAAAUAAGAAAAUUAAUAAAAAUUCAAUUUGAAAAUAAUCAAAUUUAUAAGAUACUUAAAACUUAAUUAAACCUACAAAUUUUCAUUAUAUGGAGUUAAAUACUAUAAAUAUUUACCACAUAAGUAGAAUGUUUAAAUAUAUAUUUCUUCACGUUGGAAGUUUUUUUCCUCUAUCUUAUAAGUUUUCUUUGUUUCUUUAAUAUUUUUUAAGCCAAUGUGAUUUUUUUAAUAUAAAAUAUUAUUAAAGAUAAAAUAUGAAGAUAGGGUAAUUAAAUAUAAUUUUUUAUUUUUUAGAAAUGAUGAAAAUUAUAAUUAAAUUAACUAAAUUAUAUAAAAUUCUAUUUCAUUUACAUAACUACUUUUCAUAUUAAAAAAACUAUAUAAGAUCUUGAAACUAUAAUUAAUAUUUCUACUCAUUUUUCGUUUUUGUUGGUGAAAUCUUGAUUUUGGGAUAGUAUUAGUGAGAUAUUGUUUGGAGUUAAAAACAAGAAAUUCUUUUGCAUAAUCAAUUUGAACAGUUUUGAUUUUGAAACCAGAUUUUCAGAGAAGAGUUUAAAGCGUUCAAAUGCAGCAAGAGCUUGAGAUUUAGCAUGCUAGAGAUAAAUUCAUGUAUAUUUUAAAUAUGCAUUAGGAAAAGAGAUAUCGUAUGAUGCAACAUUAUUAGCACAAACAACAAACAGCAGAACGUCCCCAAAUAUCAAUAUAGAUAAAUUCUAAAAGGUGAUUAUCCACACUGUUUUAGAACAACUUUGAUUACAGAAAAACUAUAACGCCCAAGUCUAUUAUGCCACAAGUGAAAAGAAGUUUUUUCAUAUUUAAAAGAUGUGUAGUUAGCAGAAAAAACAGAGGAUCAGAGAUCAAGAAAGACAGAGAGAUCAUCUUUAAGUGUGCCUUGUAGAAGAAUCUGUUUAGUUACUUAGUCUUUAACAUAGCAAGAAUGAGGGUGAAAUUCAAAAAACACAUUGUUGUUACGAGCAAACUUUGAAACACUAAGCAAAUUCUUAGUAUAAUGAGAAACAUGUAAAAGAUCAAGGAGAGAGAAGGAAGUACAAGAGGUAGACGACACACAGGAAGCAGAACCAAUGUGGGAGAUUUUUAUACCUGCACCAUUACCAAGUUUAACGUUCGCAAUGCCAUGAUAGAUUUGUUGAUCAUUGAACAGAGUAUGGUCGUUUGUUAUAUGGUGAGAGACACCGCUAUCUGGGUACCAUAAUGGAUCUUCUAAAGAUGAUGGUGGACCAAGAAGAGAGUAAGAAGAGUCAUCACGUGGAGGUGGAGAGAAAUGAGAUGUGUUUGCAGAGGAGGAUGGUGGUGUAGUACGAUCAAACCAGUGCCAACAAUGAAGAGCAGUGUGUCCAAGUUUGGAGCAUAUUUGACAGCGAACAGGGUUGCGUUUCCAUGAUGAAGACGUAGUGGAGUUCCAAGAAGAGUAUUGGGAAGGUCGGGGUUUGCCGCGGUUGAACUGAUUCUAGUUAGAUGUGGGAUUGUAACCACGACCACCACAGGAGGAGUUGGAAAAGGGGAGGUGGAGAGAAAUGAGAUGUGUUUGCAGAGGAGGAUGGUGGUGUAGUACGAUCAAACCAGUGCCAACAACAAUGAAGAGCAGUGUGUCCAAGUUUGGAGCAUAUUUGAGAGCGAACAGGGUUGCGUUUCCAUGAUUACGACAGUAAUAAAUGUAUUAUAUUCUUCAGAUAGCCUUCAAGGAUGAUGUCAAUAUGAUCAGUGGAAACAGGGGCAUCAAUAGCGGCAAGCAUGUUGACGGCGUUCUUGAUAUCAUGGAGAUAGGAGGAGAUGGAUCUGUGAUGACCUGAUUUUGUUGUUGGUACCAUUAGAGACUUGGGGACUGUCAUCAGUGGUGGAAGAAGUGGUUCUUGAUGGAACACUAGUGUCGUCAAGAAAAUGACCCAGUUUGAGCCCGCAAAUGGAGGCAAGGACUUGAUGUUUCCAGAGAAGAUAGUUAUCUUCAUCUAGUUUAAGAGUGAUGGGUGUUGUGAACUGUUGAACGGAAGGCAUGACCAGAGGUAACGGGCAAGAAGAAGAUGCAAAAGAAGAUGAAGAGAUAUGAGUGCAGUGCAUUAGAAUAGAGAGAGAAAGGAGAAAGAUAUUAUCUUAGUAUAUGUGCUAAAGGUAUAUAAGGAGUGCAGAACUGGAAACACUUACAAAGUUGUCGUUACACAGUUAUAGUAUGGUUAACAAUGUAUAAUACAGAAAACAUGCUUGUGUACUUUAUUUUUAUCUUUGAAAGUUUAGAACACAGAGGAACAUAGAUAGCUAGAAAAACCUGAUCUCCUUCCCAGAGUUGUUCAAGAUGGCAGCCUGGCAUUUCCAGGGUCACAGUCUGGCAUUUCCAGGGUCACUAGAUUUUGUGGGCAAAAGUUUGGAGGCCAGAAUCUUUGAGGGAAACCGUUCCAAUAAAGAAACUUUAGAGUGUCUGGCAGACCUACAAGAGAUGAUUCAAGAGACACAUUUGAUAUGAAUAUAGGCAUGUAGACCAUAAGCAUCAUAAGAUUGUCCAUCUUUUCGAAACUUUGUGCAUGUACUACAGCAUCUUUUACUUUGUUCGUAUGUAGUAAUAUACACUGUAUUGCAUCUGACCCCUGAAAGUAAAUCAAUUUAAUUAGGAGAAAAAAAACAUGAAAUGUUGCAUUGCAGGAUGUUUAAUGACAUCUCAGUGGUUUGCAAUUUUUUACAAAGUAAAUCCAUUCUCAAUUGAGUAACGACAUAAUACCUUGUUCUUUCUUAAAACCUCUCAAAUUUCCUCAGCAUUAAACAAUCGGCUGCGUUUUCCAGGAUGCUGAGGACACUCUUUACGAACAAUUUCUUGACUCAUUUCUNNNNNNNNNNNNNNNNNNNNNNNNNNNNNNNNNNNNNNNNNNNNNNNNNNNNNNNNNNNNNNNNNNNNNNNNNNNNNNNNNNNNNNNNNNNNNNNNNNNNGAUCCAUCUUUUUCUGCUGCUACCAUGUCGAACUCCCUUCAAAUCAAUACAAUGUCUUCACCAUCAAUCAGCCAAGUGAUUAAUGUUAAACUCACACAAGAAAAUUAUUUAUUGUGGUCUGCUCAAAUCCUUCCCUAUUUACGUAGUCAGGGGCUGGUUGGGUUUGUGGAUGGAUCCAUGCCACCACCAAACCAAACGAUUACGGUUGAGUCAAGUGAAGAAACAGGGAGCCGCAAAAUCCUGAAUUCACAGUCUGGUACCCCCAGGACCAGCUGGUACUCAGUCUCAUCAACUCAUCGGUUACCGAGGAAGUUCUCAGCACGGUGGUCGGAAUCACCACUGCACGAGAAGCCUGGGAUAUGCUGGAGCGGCAAUUUGCCUCCACAUCUCGAGCACGAGCAAUGCAGAAUCAUAUGGAACUCUCCACGAUCCAAAAGAAGGACAUGACAAUUGCUGACUAUUUUCGUAAAGUAAAACGUCUCGGAGACACUCUGGCUGCCAUUGGCAAGCGAGUAGAGGAUGAAGAACUCAUCGCCUACAUGCUGCAAGGACUUGGUCUAGAUUAUGAUCCUCUUGUCACAAGCAUUACAACUAGAACAGAUGUUUACACUGUCAGCGAUGUGUAUGCUCAUAUGCUGAGCUACGAGAUGCGUCAUCUGCGUAAUGGUACUCUUGAGCAAUUUCCUUUUGCUAACAAUGUCAACAGCAUGUCUAAUCGAGGAGGAACUAAUGGACGUCGUGGUGGUCGUGGUCGUCAAUCAAAUGGUGGUCGAGGACAAACAUGGCACACUAGAAACAAUUCUGGACGUCAGCCAUCAAAGGCACAAAGUAACUCAGACAAAGUCUGUCAGAUUUGUGGUAAGCCAAACCAUGAUGCUUUGCAAUGUUGGCACAGAUUUGAUCAGGCAUAUUAAGCCGAAGACAAUCUUAAACAAGCAGUUGUGGCCACAAGUGGAUAUACUGGUGAUGCAAACUGGUACGUAGAUACUGGAGCCACAGAUCACAUCACCAACGAGUUAGAAAGACUUACCACCAACGAACAUUACAAUGGCACUGAUCAGAUUCAAGUUGCAAAUGGCUCAGGUUUUUCUAUCUCUCAUAUUGGGAACUCAUUAAUUUCUGGUUCAUCUAGAUCUCUUGUACUGAAACAUAUCCUAUAUGCUCCUAAAAUCAAUAAACAUCUGAUUUCAGUACAAAGACUAGCAUCUGAUAAUAAUGCCUUUGUGGAAUUUCACCCACACUGUUUUUUUGUUAAGGACCGAGCCACGAAGGAACUUCUGCUCACAAGUAGAUGUAAGAAUGGCCUCUACACUUUACCAAAUAACUCCAGCAAAGCAUUCCCGACAGCCAAACUUUCGAAAGAACAAUGGCAUAGAAGACUUGGGCAUCCUGCUUUCCCAGUCACAAUUAGAAUCUUGAAAAAUAAUAACUUAGCUCUAGAUACUAGAGUUUCUUCUUCCUUAAUUUGCCAUGCUUGUCAACUAGAAAAGCACAUCAAUUACCCUUUGUUUCUUCUCAACAUGUAUCUACAGCACCUCUUCAAUUGAUUCAUACUGAUGUAUGGGGUCCAGCCAUUGUCUUAGUGAAUAAUUCUAAAUAUUAUGUUUCAUUUGUUGAUGAUUUUAGCAGAUAUGUUUGGAUUUAUUUUUUGAAAUACAAGUCUGAUGUUGAGUCUGUGUUUCAUCAGUUUCAAAAACAUGUUGAAACCAUGCUAAACACCAAAAUUCGCUCUGUCCAGUCAGAUUGGGGGGGUGAAUACCAUCGUUUGCACCAAUAUUUCAAAACAACUGGAAUUGAGCAUCGUCUUUCUUGUCCUCACACACAUCAGCAAAAUGGGUUGGUAGAAAGAAAGCACAGACACAUUGUGGAAACUGGCCUUACUUUACUUGCCCAAGCUAACAUGCCUUUGUCCUAUUAGGAUGAAGCCUUCAAUACAGCUUGUUACCUUAUAAAUAGACUACCAUCUCGAAUCAUACAAGCAAGACACACCACUUCAUAAAUUAUUUGCAAAAAAUCCAGAUUACACCAUGCUUAAGGUGUUUGGCUGUGCUUGCUGGCCCAAUUUAAGGCCUUACAACACCAAGAAACUGAGUUUUCGAACCACUAAGUGUGUCUUCUUAGGCUAUAGUUCUUCUCAUAAGGGAUACAAGUGCUUAGAUAGAAGUACAAAACGAAUUUACAUCUCUAGAGAUGUAAUCUUUGAUGAAAAUGUGUUUCCUUUUGAAGAAUUAAAUUCUAAGUCAUCAAUCCAAACCAAAAAUUCACACCAGCCUGCUCUACUUCCAACCUUCGUUAAACCCGUUCCAUACACUGAAAAUGCUCUCACAAAUAUUGAACCAGUUGUUAAUGAUUCUCGUAUAAUUGAUGGUCAAUCUAAUGAUGUUGCUAAUAACAACUUGUCUGGUAUAAGCUUACAUCCUGCAGAUAAUACAAUAAGUCCAGAAAUUGUUGCAGAACAGGAAGCUGAGAACAGUCUGACCAAUUUCCAAGAACAGAUGUUCNNNNNNNNNNNNNNNNNNNNNNNNNNNNNNNNNNNNNNNNNNNNNNNNNNNNNNNNNNNNNNNNNNNNNNNNNNNNNNNNNNNNNNNNNNNNNNNNNNNNGAACAAGAUUGAAAAAUAACAUUGUCCAAGCAAAACAGUUCACUGAUGGUACUGUCAGAUAUUCAGAGACCUCAAGAAAGUUUACCGGUGCUGUCACUGUCAAAAAUCCGACCACAAUAAAUGUACUAAAAAAUGCUACUGAGACUGAUACAGUUACUGAACCUCAAAACCUGCAGGAAGCUCUACAAAGUCCAGGUUGGCAGGAAGCAAUGAAUAAUGAGCUCUCAGCAUUACAACACAAUGAGACUUGGGAUUUCGUUCCACCAAAACCUGGCAUAAAUCUCAUUGAUAGUCGAUGGGUGUAUAAAGUGAAAAGGAAAGCGGAUGAAUCAGUGGAGAGAUUGAAAGCAAGGUUGGUUGCUAAAGGGUUCAAGCAAAGAUUUGGCAUUGAUUACAUUGAUACCUUUAGCCCCGUGGUCAAGCCAUCAACAAUCAAAGUUAUUCUUUCACUAGCAGUAACCAAAGGCUGGAAUAUGAGACAAGUUGAUAUCCAAAAUGCAUUCUUGCAUGGAAUUUUGGAAGAGGAAGUGUACAUGCGACAACCAUCGGGAUUUCAAGACCCAUAUAAACCAAAGGAAUACAUAUGCAAACUCAAGAAAGCGCUUUAUGGCCUGAAACAGGCUCCAAAGGCUUGGCACUCAAGACUGACUGGAAAACUUAUGGAAUUAGGCUUUAGAGCUUCUGUAGCUGAUUCAUCUUUGUUUAUCCUCAAAAACAAAGAGGUAACCAUCUAUAUGCUCAUAUACGUUGAUGAUAUAAUUAUCGUGAGCUCCUCUGAUCAAGCCACCGAAAGGUUGAUUCAGAAGUUGAAAAUAGAUUUUGCUAUAAAAGACUUAGGUGGUCUUGAGUAUUUUCUGGGUAUUGAAGUCAAGAAGGCAAGAGAUGGCAUCACANNNNNNNNNNNNNNNNNNNNNNNNNNNNNNNNNNNNNNNNNNNNNNNNNNNNNNNNNNNNNNNNNNNNNNNNNNNNNNNNNNNNNNNNNNNNNNNNNNNNAAAUUAUUCAAAGAGCAGGGAACACUCUUGUCAAUUGAAGAACAAUUUAAAUACAGAAGUACUGUGGGAGCAUUGCAAUACUUGACAAUGACCAGGCCUGAUUUGGCAUUUGCUGUCAACAAGGUUUGCCAAUACCUUCAUACGCCUACUGAUGCUCAUUGGAGUGUUGUAAAGAGAAUCCUUCGUUAUGUCAAGGGCACAUUAGAUUUGGGAAUCAGAAUUCAGAAGUCUCCAACAAUGCUGCUGUCCGGAUUUUCUGAUGCUGAUUGGGCUGGUUGUCCUGAUGAUCGACGUUCAACUAGCGGCUUUGCUGUAUUUCUUGGAGCAAAUCUAAUUUCUUGGAGCUCUAGAAAACAAACCACAGUGUCCAGAUCGAGCACCGAAGCAGAAUACAAGGCCAUUGCGAAUCUGACAGCAGAAAUGAUUUGGAUAAAAUCAUUAUUGAAAGAGCUUGGUGUGUAUCAAUCAAAAGCUCCUCGACUCUGGUGUGACAAUCUAGGAGCUACAUACUUAACUUCAAAUCCAGUGUUUCAUGCAAGAACAAAACAUAUUGAAGUUGACUUCCAUUUUGUUCGAGAACAAGUGGCACGCAAAGCAAUGGAAGUUCAGUUUAUUUCAUCAAGUGAUCAAGUGGCUGAUAUCCUAACAAAACCACUGUCUAGAACUCUCUUUAUUACACAUUGUAACAAUCUCAACAUGUAUAAAACCUGUUGGGAUUGAAGGGGACUGUUAGAAUUAGUCAGUUAGAAGUGGAACACGUUUGUAGAAGUGGAACACGUUAGUUGGUUAGUUGCCUUAAGAAGCGGAUCAUGGAUCCAACCGUGUAUGCAAUCAGUUACCUUUCUUUAAUUAUAAAUACAAUACGUCCUCCACAUAGAGAGGUACAGUUAGCAAACUUUAUUAGAGCUGAAUCGGUAACAUCAUCAAGAAUGAGGAGAACCUUUGUCCGUUUGAGCCUUUCAUUGUAAUAUGGUGAAGAAGAGGAUUUCUCUUCCUUUAGAAGCUCAGACUGAUAUUUUGUUCUGAUACUGUCUAUUCCAUCUCUUUGUAUUUUUUCUUGAACGUCUAAAACAAGGCUGCUGGAAUCAAACUGCAAUGCCAAUUUGUGAUAUAUUUGAUUACAAAUUGUAGUUUUUCCUAUUCCUCCCAUGCCACAAAUUCCUAUGAUCCGAACAUCCGGUGACUCAAGAUGCAACAAGGACUGAAUUCCUUCAAUAUGUUUUUCAAUGCCGAUGAUUCCUUGAUCAUAACUGAUGGAAUAACGAUUCAAUUUUUUCAACAAGUGUGUGUUCUGUGCUGGCAGAUGAUUUAGAAAAUAAUGUAUAAGUAUUCAAGCACAAAAGCUAAACUAAAGAAAAAUUCUACAGCAUCCGUUUGUGACUUCUGAUACUAGGGAGAAGACUUGUAGGUACAAAGUUAAGCUAUAACAUGUAAUAUGGUUCAGAUCUAAGACCGACUAAUAGAAAUGAAAAAAGAAGCACUUGAUUUAGGGUGAGAUGAACACAAUUUUAGUAAAUGAAAAGAGAUCCUGAUUAUCUGGAAAGUGCGUGACCUGGUGACUUUUGAAUCCCAGCCUGCAAGUUCAGCAGCUUCGGUGAGAGCAUCCUUCCAUCCUUGCACUUUAUCGUGCUUAAAGUGCUGCUCAUGCUUUUCGAAUGCUUCUUUGUAUCUUUGUUCCUGCUUCCUAAUAGUUGAUGGAUCCACCUUGUAGAAAACAGGUAUGACAUCCCUUCCAAAUCUCUUCUUGCAUUCAAGUAUCUUAGUGAGUUCAUUCAAGCACCAAGUGGAAGAUGCAUAGUCUUGGGAGAAAACGAUGACAUAAAUCUUUGAAAAAUAAGUAUGAAAUCUAGAUAUAUAUCAUUAUCACGUGUGGAAGCUACGUCGUCUUGUAUUGGAUUUUCUAAUCUGCCUUUUAUCUUGUCUCAUUCUUCUUUAUCUUUUUUCUCUCAUCUCUCUUGCUUACGAUUUCUUUGCCUUUAUUCAGAAAUUUUAGUUAUAAUAAACCUUCAAUAAUAUUUGUACUUUCUAGCAUAUAGAAUACUUAAUGGAUCCUUUUCUGAUUUUUCUUUUCUAAAGUUCAAUUGAUUUUUUAAAUGUUUUUCUAUUUAAUUUUCCUUUCUUAAUGACACAUAAAAUGGUUCAGUGCACAAUUAAUUAUUCUCACCUUAGAUUUCAUUCAUCUCAUUCCAUUUCCACACUCAAAUCAUUCUCACAUUUGUUUCUACCUGUUUCACAAAGUUUUAGUUAAAAUAUGGAAAUUAAUGUUCAAGAACCCUACUUAAUAUUAAUAUUCAACAAUUUAAAAUAUUAAAAUGCAAAUUAAUCUUUCUUAAUAAUGUCAUUUUUAUGUAAAAAAUAAAAUGUAGUUUAGUCAUUUAUACUUAGAUGGAUAAAGAUGAUUUUAGAAAAAAAAAAUGCAUUUUAUUUCAAAGGUUAACUAAACUCUGAACUCAUUUAUGAAUUAAUAAUAAUAAAUAAUAUGUAAUUGUAUUCCAAUACCAUAUAAAUUUUUUUUAUUGGGUGCGUUUCUGAUGAAUUAAUGCACUCUAGGGACAAUGAUCGCUCUAGUAUUUGAUUUUUUAUUUAUUUUAAUGUUAAAAUUAUAGCUAUGUAGUACAGAUAUUACUGACACAGACAGACACGAACACGGACACAGAAAUACAUAAAAUCUCUAAAAUGUAGAAUACGGAGACAUUAAUCUAUAUAUUAUAUAAUUAUGAAUCAUAUAAAUUAACAAUAAAGAUUUAUGUGCACAAGUAUUUUUGAGAUUAUUUUUUAGAACAGAAAUAUGUUUUUCAUGACUAGUUCACAAAUAUUUGUUUCUUAUUCUUAUAAUCAUAAUAACAAUUUAUACCAUAAAGUUUCAAUUUUAGAAAAUUAAUGUAUUUUUUCUUUUUAAAAUUUCGUUAGAACUGUACUAGAAUUGUAAAAAAUCUAACAAAUACAUUUUGAAUUGGACAUUCCACGAAUACGUGUCCUACCAGUAUUUUGAACAACAUUCUUUCUUUUGGAACAAAGAGGGCAUAUGCCGCAGUCUUUUACUGUGAUAACUCAUUUCAACUCUCACACAACUGAUUCGUAAUCUGUGGGAUGCAUUAAAGCCUUUUGCAGUUAAAUCAAUAGUAUAUGAUGAUGUGAAUGUUAUUUAUAUACUAAAUAUAAUCACAUAGUAACUUCAAAUUUGAUAAGGUACAACAUGUUACCAUAUCUCUUUUAAUUUAUUUUAUUUCAUUAUAUAUUUAGGUGUAUUUAAUUUCUUUUAUUUCAUUGUGUAUUUAGGUGUAUUACGUAAAAUAUAUAAUUAAAAAGAAAGAAGAAUAAUGUUAUUUUGAAAUUUAAAGAAGACAUAUAGAAAUAAACAAGCUUUUGCUAAGAUUCCACCAUUGAAAAGGAACAUAGAACAAUCUUGACAAUUAUACUUUGACUUAUUUUAAUUUCUUAUAUUUAUGAGUAUUAUUUUUUCUUAAACAUAGAUAUUGGAUAAAAAAUACAAAUAACAUUUCUUUAUUUCAAAUUUAAAAAUAUUUUAAAUUAAAAUAAAAUAAUUUUUUAAUUAAGAUAUAACAAAAUAUUCUUUAACAAAUUAUUUUAAUUUCAAAAUAAUUAAUUCAGAGGACGAUUGAAAAAAUAUUAAAUAUUAUAAUAAAGCUUCAAUAAUAUUUGUACUUUCUAGCAUAUAGAAUACUUAAUGGAUCCUUUUAUGAAUUUUCUUUUCUAAAGUACAAUUGAUUUUUUAAAUGUUUUUCUAUUUAAUUUUUCUUUCUUGACACAAAAUGUUCAGUGCACAAUUAAUUACUCACCUUAGAUUUCGUUCUUCUCUUUCCAUUUCCACACUCAAAUCAUUUUCACCUUUUUUUUCUUCUUAUUUCACAAAACUUUAAUUAAAAUAUGGAAAAUAAAGUUCAAGAACCCUGCUUAUAUAUUAAUAUUCAAAAAUUUAAAAUAUUAAUAUGCAAAUGAAUAUUUCUUAAUAAUUUUAUUUUGAUGUAAAAAAUAAAAUGUAGUUUAGUCAUUCAUACUUAGAUGGAUAAAGAUGGUUUUAGAAAAAAAAAAAGAAUAUGCAUUUUAUUUGAAAGGUUAUCUAAACUCUGAACUCACUGAUGAAUUAAUAAUAAUAAAUAAUAUGGAAUUCUAUUCCAAUACCAUAUAGGAUGGAGAAAAGUAAGAAGAGGAUUUACACAUUACCCUUUCAAAUGGAGCUCCUCAGGAUUUCAUAAUGCCUUCACUGCAAAUGCAACCCAAAUAUGCUAAAAAAGUUAAUGAAACUAUAUAUGAAGAGUUAAUGAAACUAAAUGGCGUGUGCUGAAAUUUUUGAUCCGAUAACCAUGCCCACAUUCAAAAAGUGAAAGGUUACUUUGCUUUAUAUUCCUUUGGGUGGUGCUACUUUUCAACUUGACAACAAAUUCCCAUUAUUGUGUGGUUAUCAAUUACCAUUUAACUUAUUCUCAUACCACAUUCACUAUAUAAUAGUCCAUCAUAAACCCCAAAAUUUGCACAUUUUCUAUUUGCAAGACAUCCAACAGACAAAGAAAACAUGUGAAACUGUGUAAUAAUGUGAGAACGUAAGAACUUACUUCAUCAUGAAAUCAAGCCAUGCCUGAGGGUUUUUUCUGAGAGCAUUCACCACAGGUGCAUAUUCAUGUGGCUGUAUCCCAUACUCAGCUAGUAUUUCUGCUACCUCUGCCGCUUCUUUUUUUGUCAAAAAACACAUAUUCAUUAUUAAUGUGCAAUCAAAUGGUAACGAAACUAUGUAGUACAAACACACACUGAUACGACACUAGGACGAACAUACGUAUAAUGUUACUCCUUCUAUGGAAAUGAAGGAUAUUCAGCAAUAACUUUUAAAACUCAUUACAUAGAAAUUUGCAUCAAGUUAUCAAAGUCUAUAGGAAUGAAUUUUCAAUUCAUGGAAACACAGAUAACAAAAAGUAAUAGAAAAAUAGAAAAAAAGUUGUCAAAUGAUUCUAUAAAAAAUUAACCUAUCAUGAAAAUCAAGAUGAUAGAAAAUAAAAUAAUGUGGCAUGAACAUCAAAAUCGUAUAAAAGCAUAAUAGAAGAACAGUGGAUACCAGUUUCUGGCACGGCGAUGAUUUCUUCUUGCUCUCUUUUCAAUUCCCUCGAGUAAUUAUCGGCUUCACUUUUUGCUGCCAAAUAACUGCACAAUGAAAAUUAACAUGAAAUAAUAACGGAAUUUAAAUUGAGUUUUGUGAGUGUGAAGAGUGUGGUUGAACGUACCCGCCGAGGCCCAUGGAGAUGGCGCCGGCGGCGACUUCCGCUAUGCCAGCGGUGAGAACGAUGGAGGAGGUGACAUUGGCGCCGGAGAGGCCGGCGGCGAGGGCGAAGGGGACGGUGAGGCCGUCGGAAACGCCGAUGAUGAUGUCGCGGACUAUUUCGCCGGCGGUGAAGUGCUUCUCGGUGUGGUGGUUGAGAAGGUUCGUUCUCUCAGAAUCCACGCUUAUGCCGUGUUCGGUGGCGGCCAUUGGUGCAAGCUUGUGAAUGUGUUUGAGUUCGCCAACGUGCUCUGGGAAUCCAAACAAAGCCUUGCUGCUUUGCACAUAAAUUGAGCCUCUUUUGUGCUCAACUUACUCCUAAAUAGAACAAAAAUAUCUAACCGUUGAUGAUAUCCACGUGGAAAAUUAUCAAUGGAUAUCAAUAUCACAUUAUUUCUACACUAAUAUUUUAAUUAUUUUUAAAUAUUAUAACUAAAUCAAUCAAUAUAAUACCAAAUCUUCUUAAUUCUUUGGAUUAUAUAUAUUUUAUUUUAUUUUAUUUAUAAAGGAAGUUGUGAUAAAUGUUGUGUUUUGUGUGCACAUUAAUAAAAAUCAAAUAACCAAAAAAUAAUAAUCUUGUGAAAGAAAAAAUGGUAGAAUUUAUACUAUUCUACAAAAUUUUAAAAGUGGCUAAUGUGUUUUACUCAACUAUGUAAAUAAUUUUGGACUCUCUUGUUAAGGAAAUAAUGAAAUACAUUAAAUUUUGUUUUAUACUCUUACUUUAAGUUUUUUUGUGUUUCUCCUGACUUAAUUAAAUAUCAGAGAGUCGUCUUUUGCAGGUAGAUUUCAUUCUAUCAUAAUAUACCAACUGAAAACUUGUUUUCUGAAAAACACACGGCUCUCACCGAAUUGCACUUUCCAAUUUUUUUUAAUAGAAAUAAUAAUAAUUAAGUAUUUGUGUUCUUAUAUUUAAUUUUUAAUAAAAAAAUUAUUCUUAUGUACUUCUAAAUUGAUAUAUUUUACCAAUGUCUAUUAACAAUGGGAAGAAGUUUAUACCUAACAAAACUAUUUAACAUGAUUUGUUUGUAAAUUAUAGAAGUAUGUGUAGAAAGAUAUAAAAUUAAUGUUUUAAGAGAAAUUUAAGCAACUUUCAUAAUAUAUUGUAGAUUAUUAGUUGAAUUUAUGGAAAUUAAAAAUAAAUUGUAGGUCACCACACUUCCACUUUUUUUUAAUGAUAUCAAAUCACAACUUUACAAUUUUCACUAAUUUUUAACCAAUAACAAAAGAACAUCUUAGAAGAAGUGUGUUUAAGAAUUUGAUGUUAACUCUCAUUGUUUUUUAAACUUAAAUCCAGCUUUAUUCUUCAACUUUUAAUUUUUAUACAUAUUUAAUUGUAUAUAUAGUUUUUAACUCUCUAAAAUCAAACAAUUUUAAUUCAUUAAAUAGGCAAUGUCAUGAGUGUUAAACUUUUAACAUUUUUCUAGUAAUUAAAUUACUUAUGAAGAUUCAACUAAUUCAAAAUUUAAUAUUUUUACAAUUUUUAUUAUAAUAUUCUUAAAAUAUAUUUUAAUAUUUUGUUUUUCAUGUUUGAAAUAUAAAUGUUUUAAAAAAUCAUUUUAAAUUAUUUUGUUUCUCAUCUUAUGUAAUAAAUUACUAUAAUAAUUACUAAAACAUUUAAUACCUAUACAUUUUUAAUGAGCAAAAACUAAUAAUGAAUUAUAACAAAUAAAAAACGUUUCUGGGCAACAAAAUAGUAAUUAAUAUGAAUUAUAACAAAUAAUGAACGUUUUGUGGUAAUUUGUUUCACUUUCAAAUAAGUUAGUACUUCGCCUGUUAUUUCAUAACGGUAGUUUUUUUAAAUAUAUUAAGAAAAAUGUUUAUUUUUUUAUUUUUAAUGCACUUUUAAGUAACUUGCCUAUUAUAUUAUAUUAUAUGGGUAUUAUAUAUAUAUAGGUAAGCACCAAAAAAUAAAUUUAAGGUAAAAGUGAUAUAAUUAAAAUAAAAUAAAUUAUUAUUAAAUAGAAAAUAUAUAUAAUUAAAAAAAUCAGUUAUUUAAGUUUUAUUUUAAAAUAAUUUUUGUAAAAAAAUUUUCUUUUUUUCCUUGUUCACGAUUUUAAAUUUUAUAUUCACUUGGUAGACAUGUUUUGCAUGUGGUGUUUGGGACUUAAAAGAAUAAUAUAUGUUAGUUCAAGAUCCUAAUGAUGUGUUUUUAAGAAGUUGGACUAUCUUUGUUUUUUUAAGAAGUUGAAGUCUUUUUAUGAAUACUUAUCUUUUUAAACAGGUAAGAUAAACUAGUUUUAUCUGUAAAACUUAAGUUAGAAUAUCUGAAUAUGAAAUGUGAUUCUUCAUAUGAUUAUGAUUGAAUGAUUCAAAAUUCAAGUAUAAAGUUUUAAGAAUCAUUAACUUAUGUUUUUUUUUUUGUGCUAUUUUUUUGAUUUUUUGCAAUGAUUGUGUGUUGCAUGUGAGCAAAUGAUGUUACAAGUUGUAAACCUAAAAAAAAAUCAUGAAAUUUUGUCUUUUUUAUUCUUUUGAUAUUUUAUCUUAAUGAUAUAUAUAUAUAUAUAUAUAUAUAUAUAUAUAUUUAAAAAUCUCUAUAUGAAAGGAUAGUAUUUUAUGAUAUAAUAAUAUGAUAAUGUAAAUGUUAUUUAUAUAAUAAAUAUCAUGAGAUAAUUUAAAUUUUGAUAAGAUAAAUGAAGAUGUUACAAUAUCUCUUUUAAUUUUUUUUUAUUUCAUUAUAUAUUUAGGCGUAUUUAAUUUCUUUUAUUUCAUUGUAUAUUUAGGUGUAUUACGUAAAAUAUAUAAUUAAAAAGAAAAAAUAAUGUUAUUUUGAAAUUUAAAGAAUGACGUAUAGAAAGAAACAAGCUUUUGUUAAAAUUCCACCAUUGAAAAGGAACAUAGAACAACACUCUUGACAAUUAUACUUUGACUUAGAUACUUAUUUUAAUUUAUUAUAUUCAUGAGUAUUAUUUUUUCUUAAACAUAGAUAUUGGAUAAAAAUUAAUAAAAUUUAUUUAUUUCAAAUUUAAAAAUAUUUAAAAUUAAAAUAAAAUAAUAUUUUUAAUUAAGAUAUAAAAAAAUAUUCUUUACAAAUUUUUUUAAUUUCAAAAUAAUUAAUUCAGAGGAUGAUUGAAAAAAUAUUAACAAUCUAUUUAUGCGUUUAUAGUAAACCUUCAAUAAUAUUUGUACUUUCUAGCAUAUAGAAUACUUACUGGAUUUCUUACUCUUUCUUUCUACACCUCUAUCCAUACUAAAUAUAAAAAUACCAUUUUAUUCUUUUUUCUCCACCCCUUGAAUUUGAAAUAAUAAGCCCAUGGAUUAUGUAAUCUGGAUAUAUUCCGGAUUAGUCAAUUUCAUAUUUAGAAAAGACUUUCGGAUUAUGUAAUCCAGAAGCUAAUAAAACAUCUGAAAAAAAGGCUUCCGGAUUACAUAAUCCGGAAGCUAAUCUUAUGUAUAGAAAAGACUUUCGCAUUAUGUAUUCCGGAAGCUAAUCACAAAAGACUUCUGGAUUACAUAAUCCAAACGCUAAUUCUAAAUCUAGAAAAAAGACUUCCGGAUUAUGUAAUCCGGAAUAUUAAAAAAGAUAUUUUUGAAAUACGAAAAAUUUAUGGGGGUGACACAAGAAGGUAUGGAGGUGCAGGAAGAAACAGCCUGGAUUCCUUUUGUGAUUUUUCUUUUCUAAAGUACAAUUGAUAUUUUAAAUGUUUUUCUAUUUAAUUUGUCUUUCUUAAAUGACACAUAAAAUGUUCAGUGCACAAUUAACUACUCACCUUAGAUUUCGUUCUUCUUUUUCCACUUCCACACUAAAAUCAUUUUCACAUUUUUUUUACCUAUUUCACAAAAAUUUAAUUCAAAAAUGGAAAUUAAAGUUCAAGAACCCUACUUAUAUAUUAACAUUCAACAAUUUAAAAUAUUAAUAUUCAAAUUAAUCUUUCUUAAUGUUAUGAAAAAUUUAAAAUGUAGUUUAGUCAUUCUUGGAUGGAAAAAGAUGGUUUUAGAAGAAAAAAAUGCAUUUUAUUUGAAAGGUUAUCUAAACUCUAAACUCAUUGAUGAAUUAAUAAUAAUAAAUAAUAUGGAAUUCUAUUGGAAUAGCAUAUAAAUGUUUUGUUGUUGAAACUGAUAAUUGGGUGCGUUUCUGAUGAAAUUAAUUAAUGCAGUCUAGGGACAAUUAUCGCUCUAGUAUUUCAUUUUUUUAUUUUUAACGUUGAAAUUAUAAUUAUACAAUUCCGUUUUUAGAUAUUAAAAUGAUAGUUUUCAUUUACAGAUUAAAAUAUUACUUGUUUCUUUUAAGAUUUUUUUGGUAUUAUAAUUAUUUGUUAGCUGAAUUGUUUUGCGUUAACAUGUUGUUUUCUUGGGCUAUGAUGUAAGCAAUAUAAAUGUUAUUUUUAAUGUAAGCAAUAAAAAUUAUGAGUAUUCAAAGUCGUGUAAUUACUUAAAAGAAUCAAGUGAUUUUUAAAAGAACUCACACGAUCAGUUUUAAUUUUGACGAUAAAAUAUAUUAGUUAUAUAUAUUUAUUCAAAAUUUCAAUUAUACUAUGCAUUUAUGGUUUUAUGCUUUUAGAGGAAUCAGUAACUUAGAAAAGCUCCCAAAAACUAAUGAAAUCCCAUGAAUGAAGAAGGAGAACAAAUGGAAGUGAAAAAUCAGUAAGAUGAUAAUUAAUAAACACCCUCUCUUAAUAACAUAACAUAGGAGUCUUUAAACUUAUAUUCUUCAAACAAUUAUAAGCUGUCUUCAACUUUACUGUUAAACUACAAUUAUAAAGAAUUAACAAUCUCACACACCAACAACAUUUAUAAGUCAUCACUCACAUGCAACAAGGUGUGCCUCAAUGUGAAAAAACCAAGAUCAAUAAGAAAUGAGGUUCCACUUAACCAAGCUGAGAAUUGUCUGGUUUUCCAGCUCCAUGCACAAACCUAAUACAAUGAUAUGAUAUUCAAUACCAAGAGGUACCUUGUCGUAAAACUGAGAAUAUGAGGUUGCAUAGGAUGGAGAAAAGUAAGAAGAGGAUUUACCAAUUACCCUUUCAAAUGCAGCUCCUCAAGAUUUCAUAAUCCCUUCACUGCAAAUGCAACCCAAAUAUGUUAAAGAAGUUAAUGAAACCGAAAUAUGAAGAGUUUCAAAAUAAAAAUUUAACAUGUUGAAACUUGUAAUUUAGAAGUAUUGACUAUAAGGCAGUUUAGAUCCUGACCAAUGAAAGACUAAUAAGCAGAAGAGGAAGAGACUAGUUGACUGGCUAGCUUUCGGCCUUCCACUUCCUAUCUUCCCUUGUUUCUCUUGAAGACUGUGCAACAUUGCUUCCACUGGAUUCUUCAAUCUCAACAGCACCACCAUAUUCAUCAUCUUUCUUUUUCGUAUAAAGAGGGCAUAUGCCGCAUUCUUUUAUUGUGAUAACUGAUUUCAACUCUCUCACAACUGAUUCGUAAUCUGGCCACCCAAAGUCAUAAUCACACGGACUGAUCUCAAAAGUGAAGCUGCGAGCAUCACAUAGCCUGAGGCUCAUGCCGCUCGCCCUUAGGGACUCCAAGUUAAAUUUCCACACGAAUGUGUGAUCUUUAUCAACACAUCUCUCUUCACCAUUCCAUUUGAAAUAGCUGUUUAACACAUCAUUAUUUGGAAUGAUCUGUGUGCCAUCAUCAUCAGAUUCAAAUGUUAGGCUGUAACUAAAAGAACCAUAUCUACCAUUCAUAGCAUACGUAUCUAACACUCCAAAAACCACACUCAAAGCGAAACCAGUGAGCCUAUCAUCGCUGCAGAAACUUAAAUCUUCAUUUAUAGUCACUGAAUGUCCCUUCCCACGAAAAUUGAACCAACCAGGAACUGCACUCCCUGGAAAACAGAAGAACACACACCUAUAUGCAUCGUCGGUCAUCCUAAGCCUUGCAUCCUCCUCAAUGUUAGCACGACCACCUGAAUCCAGUUGUUGAGCAUUGGUGAAAUGAAAUUUAAAUACACCCUCUUCGGAAUUUGAGAGGUUUCGAACAAGAGAAUUUGGCAUCACUCUUCUAAUGGAUGGGCAAUCCAAUGCCACGAGUUGUUUCAGAAAUGGUGGAAUCUGUGGGAUGCAUUCAAGCUUUUUGCAGUCGCUUAAAUCAAGCGAUUUCAAACUUGAAAGAUGAGCAAUGCUCCCAGGAAGGUUCACGAUUCCGCUAUUACGCAGUGAAAGUUUCAUUAAUGACGUCAAACGACCAAUGUGUCUAGGGAUUUCUGUUAAUUUGGGGCACCCCGAACAAUCAAGUUUAGAGAGAAGCUUCAGAUUAACAAUGCAGUUUGGAAGUGAGUCG
rnacentral:lncRNA from 1 species